rnacentral:lncRNA from 1 species
CCCUCCAUGGUCAAUGCGGUCUUACGUUUUGUUUGAACUUUCGUGUCUACUUUGACUUACCUGUCCAGCAAAAAACGGAGAAAACAGAAAAAGUUCAAGAAAGCUCUAGUUGGUAGCCACAAGAGCAAACAAAGGUGCAAGAAUACUCAAAAAGGUAUCUAUAACGACGAUAGACAAAUUACUGAGACUAUUCAGAGUUGCAAGCUUGAAUUGUGAAGAGAAAACUAUUCAAAUGGUGACUUACAAAUAAGCAGAAAGACGGUUGUAGCGCCAAAUCAUUUUCUUUUAGCAUCGAUGAACAUGGCUCGAGUCCAAUGCUCAAUAUCCUCAGAUUGUGAUGGUGGAGGAGGAAAAGUUGGAUGUUCUACAAGAUCCCAUCCUUCUACAAGGGAUUCAUUCUUCCCAGAAUCAGACAACUCAGUGGAACAAAGAGAGCUGGUGGCAUAAGUAGGUAGGUUAUAUUCAUACAAAUUUUUCUGCAAGGCAAAAGAAAACGUAUGACAAUUAAGUAAAGUCUUCAUGCAUGCAAAGAACAGUGGCAUACCAAUUUAACAGUUACCGAAUUAUUUCUUAUUCCUAUGUAUGUGAAAAGAUGUAAACAAUAAUAUCAACCAGCUCCUAACUCAAAAAGGCAGAAGUACACAAAACUGCGCUAUGAGAUAGGACCACUCCUACAAAAGCAAUUAUAGGCCAAUGAAGGGCAAAACCAAUAACAUUGUUGAUUGAGGCACAAAAGUAGACUAGCUAAAAACCCAAAUGUCCUAACAAAACAGAAUUAAAGCCCAAACAUUUACCGUCAUUGUCAUGGCAUGUGCGCUAUCCAGUAGAGUGGUUGACGAUAUGGCAGAAUUCACAUUCCAAACAGAUUUGUUCAAUUGUUGAACUUGCUUACAUGACCUGAAAGUUAAAAGGGAAAUUCCAAUGAAUGUUUAUCUACCAUCCAUAGCAUGCCACUAAAGUAGAGUUCUUUAACAAGCAACCGAGUAUUAAGAAGACCAUUUCCAGUCCAGGUAAAAAGAUGCAAAGAUUUCAAUAUCUAUAGUAUACAGGCAAACGAGGUUAUUACAGUUCAGAUUUCAAGCAUAAACACCCAUAAGCCCAAAAAUAAUUCUUGCAAAACCCAGCACACACAACUUUAUAUCCAUUUUCUGUUCUCAACAUUAAAAAAAAAAGACAAAUAUAGAGAUUAAAACAAUACAAUUGAGUAACCUUUGCUAGAGAAGUCUAAGAAAAUACCAAACUUUAUGCUACAUUCACUAACCCUACAUGGCAUCAGCACACUGUCCCAUAAGUCCAUCUCAAAAUUCUACAAUGAUCAUAUUUUGUUCGUGAUCCAGGCUAAAGGAAUUGAACCUUCCAACUACAGAAGAAAUUCCUCAAGAAUGAUCAUGCAAAUAAAUGAAAGGCUUAAAAGUGUAUUACCAACAAAUUAUAAAGGUGUGUUCUGUUUGACAAGAGAGAGCUUUGGAAAUUUAGUAGAUAUCUUAAUUUUGUACUCCCUCUAAUUGUACGAAAGUUAUUAGAGAAGUUAGGAUCCUUUAUGACCAUAGAAGGGGGCGUGAAGGUGACAUGAGAUUAAAAACCAAUGACAUAGAUAAUUCUUGUAAUUCCAUGAAAUAAUGCAUUUUCAAUUUUAAGGUUUGUAAUCGCCUUCCAAUUGUGAUGCCAACGCCUUGGGACAGUAAAAACAUCCCACGCAGCACCAGCUUCAUUAUCUAAUUAAGGGUGUCCCAUACAACCUAUGCAUAGCCUCUAAGUAGUUCAAGCUUUGUUACAGCAGAUGAAGCAUUGACCCAGUCAACAACCCAAACAUGGAGCACUUAACAUUCUAAUUCAGAUGUUACAAAAGUCACAAUGAUCUACUUUGCAAGAAGAUACUCUCUCAGAAGUUCAGGACUUAAUGUUUGUCCAAACAUUGUUAAAACCCGAUAACAGUUAUUAUUUUAUUAUUUCUGUUUAUGCACAAUAGAACAAAAAUGAAAGCACACAGAACAUAAUUGACAAAGAAAGGGGAUGCAGGACAAUGUACCUUGAACAAGCCAUUUUCAAAGAGAAAACAGAAUGAACUUCCUUGGACGAAGAUAAUGUAGCCAACAAUUUUGCAAAUGCUUCAAAGGUAGAUGCCUCAGAAGGGACAUCUAAACAAAGUGAGUUAUAACAGUAUGCUGUAAUGCAUGCCACACUUUUCUUGAGGAGUGAAAUCCCUCUCUGCAAAUCUUUGUGUGUUUCGACAGAGUGUUGAGAAGCAGAAGUAUAAUUAAAGCUACUACUUCCAGAAGAAUCCAGAUGGGGUUUCCUCUCGGAAUCUAUUGAAGCAACACCAAAAUUACUUGAGCUUCUAUCAGACCACGAAUUUUCACCACUAGUGGAGCAAUAAUUUUGCCGUGGUAUAAAGAGAGGAUAUUCAUUGCUGCAAUAAAAUAAAUUAUCUCAGUCACCAGGAGGAGAAAUCCUCUCCCAUGUCCAAAAAUUAUCUCCAGCCAACGUACCUCCUAGAAGAAGGGCGCGCAUCCCAAUAAGAAUCUCUUUGCCAUAUCCGAGAGCAGGAACCCUGAAGUAAGGCAUCCCAAUUUAAGACGAAAUAUAGCUAAAAAUAAUCCAAAAUACAACAUCAAAAGCCUCAUAUGAAGCUUCAAAUGUCUCUCUAGAAGAAAAGCACAACUUCAAAAUAAAAAUAGAAUGCUUUCACAGAAAGAGGUUUCAAAUGAAGGUAUACUUUUCUUCCGAACCAAAUGUCUUCCCAAAAUAAAUAAAAAUAAAAACACGUCAUAAGCUAACAAUACGAGCAAUUUUAUUUGACAAAUCAAAAUAAGAAUAAUUUCCAUUAUAUAUAUUAAAGCAUUGGGAAACUUUCAGAGACCGUAAACAUCUAUUUUCACUAAUACUUCCAGAACAUUUUAAUAUAAUCAUCAUUAGUACUUUCAAACCCCUAAAGAGUUUGCAAAUAGUAAAUCUUAAUGGUGAGGAAAGACCAUUGUUUUCAAGGGAAUCUUUAAGCCAUCACAUAGAGGGUGAACAGUGCUUACUGCGAAACCUGAGUUAUGAAGUGCUGGAGCAGCUAAGUUCUGAACGACAAGAUUCAGGAGUUGAACCAUGUAUCUGUUCUCCAAUAAUAGGGAUCAGUUAUCAGUGAAAGUGCAAAUCACCAUUGCUAAACAUGAUUCAACUGCACCGGAUUUAACUGAAAAAACAUAAUCUCAAGAGGAAAAAGCAAUAAUUCUCAGCAAGUUCAUGGUGAAUCAGUAAGAUAACAUAAUUCAGUACCAAAUAGCUUCCUGCUUACAAGAAUAUUAGUUUUUUACAACUUUGAAGAGAGAUUACCCCAAAGAAGCAGCAAGCUCUUCUGAUGGAACUGAGUGUGGAUCCAGCCCUCUUGGCAAGCAUGCAUUGCAAAUUUGAUCAUAUUGACCACCAGAUGCAUCUUUCCUCUUUGCAUCAACAGUCACCUAAAAGAAAGAAUGAACAUAAAAAAGCUUGGAUUUAAGCUCCUCAAACCCCAAUAAUUAUAUAGAGGAAUAUCAAAUGCUACGAAUUAUUAACAACCCAGAGCAAAACCACAGUGAUGCUGUUUCUUUUGGAAAACAAAAUGGGUAUAGCUUUCAUUCUACUUAUAUAAGUCAGUCAAUAGCUUCAUGUAACAUAGUCAUCAAGGAUUAUCAAUCAAAUAUAAUCAAACCAUUGAGUUCAUCUAUACUAUUAUCUAAGAGAAUUCUCUUUGUCAACCAAAGGGGAUAAAAUAUCAUUUUUUCAUAAUUAAAUUUAAAGCUAAGGGUCUUACCAUAACUAUCAUUUAUCCCACUUUUAACCCACCCAGCUUCUUCUCCCUCCUACCCUUUUAACUUCCUAUAACUUCUCAUCACACAUGCAGAGCAUGUGUAGGAUGUUUCUAUUAAUACUCAACUCAACUUAUAAGCCAUAUUUCAUGCACAUAAAUCAACAUACAUCUACUUUUGAAGAGCUUACCCGACGUUGGGGAAACAAUUUGCAUAUUUGUUUUAUAACCACUGACUGUUUAUGAAGGCGUUCAGAGGUAAUUGCCAUCUGCAAUUCAGAGAACGAAUCAAGCAUCAAACCUUUUGUUCAAAUAAGAAAAAUGUCUAGAAGAGAAGGAUAAGAAGAAUGCAUGGUAAAGUAAAAACAUAACUACCGUCACAUCUUCGGAGACAAUAAAGCUACACUAACUUCCUUUACUUAAUAAUGCACGAAAGAAGUAUCUAAAUUAAAGGAGUGUAUAAAUAUGCCUUACAUGCCCUAAGUUCUGAGUGCAUAUAAAGUUGGGAUAGAACUUCUCCAGUUGUUCUGCACGAUUUUUUUCCAACUGCAAAUAGGAAAAUUUAGAAGUCCAUGAUAUCUUAAAGAUUUCUAUAGAAUCAAAUAUAAAGAUAUUUCUAAAAAUUGUCGUACCACAGCAAGGGCUGAUUCAAGUACCCCAGAUUUUACUUUUAGGUCAUAGGACGUCUUCUCAAUCUUAGCCUUGCCUGAAAACAUCUCAAUCAGUAUUACAGGAACAACAUCAAUGAAUUUCAACCUAAAUUCUAUUUGGCAAUAGAAAACCAACCUUGCACAAGCUGUUCUUUAUUACAGCGGAGCUUUUCCCUUAACCUCACAAGCUUUUCAUUUUGAAGCACUCUCCAAUUUAGUUGAUCAUCGGCCUUACCCUGACGAAUGUAUAAAACAUCAGUAUAAAUAAAGUAGCAGGAUUCUUUAGAGUCCAUUACCCAUCUUUGCAUCCUCAGUAUAUUUUCUUUUAAGUAAUACUCCGCUUGGAACAAAAUGGACACCUUAAUGGAACACUUUAAAUUUCAAUCAUGUCAAUUUCCGUAGGCAUUCACAAACUUUAACCAGGUAAAUAAUAUUUUUUAAUGAGAACCGAGUGAAAAAUAUCAUCAAUACAAUACAUAAUAUGUUGUAAGAAAACAUGGUUUUAUUCUAAUUAACUUACAGGAUUGUACCUGAAAACUCUAUUUGUACUUGGCAGAAAUAGGCCAUUGGAAUGCAAGGACAAGAGUAUAAAGUAAUAGAAAAAAGAAAAGGCUACCUAAGUCAAUCCAAGGCAGAAACAAACCUUUGCCACAAGCGCCUCAGUCAAUCUUGAAUACAAGGAAUCACGACGACUCUUCAGUGCCUUUAAAGAACUGUUAUACUCAGUUAAUCUGAAAACAAGUAUACCCAUAUAUAAGAUUAAGGACAUGUAAACAUGCAAUUAUUCUAUAACAGUUAGAAUAACUCAUAUUAUCAACGAUUCAAAUAAGUUCAUAAUAUCAACAAUAAAUUUGAAGGACUAUUAAGUUCAGAUGUCACACCUGUAAUUGACACAGAUAGCACAGACAGAAGCGAGAUUUGAACUCUCACAAAUAGCACAAUUACUUGAUUUUCUGUUCAUCAUCUGGCUUUUCUCAAGACAAAAAAAAACAUCUAAAAAGUCAGUGCUUACGAAAUAGCAAAUUCUUUGCUGAGAAAAUAUAACAAUCCGAAUUAGUUCAGUAUCAACUCAAUUUAAUUCAGUCAUAUUCUGAUCAUCAUGGACAGAAUUGAGGCAGAAGUCGACGCAAACAGAACCAAAAGACAAAAAGACAUAAAUCAGAACCCAAUUGAAAUUUCCGACUCAAAAUUGUUGCACAACGUAGAACUUUUGUUUUUUUAUUUAUUUAUAAUCAAUUUCAACUUUUCUCAGCAAACAAACAAACAAAUCCAUGAAAAAUCAGAGGGACUGAGAAUAAGAAGAUAAUUUACCUGAGGCAGAGUCGUCGACGUGCAAUCUACACAACGAGGGUUUUAAAUUUGCGCGCAAAACUCUGUAAUUUGAAGUGGACUCGGAAUUUUUGGGAUUUUUUUCAUUCUCGUAAUAAUUUCGUUAUGAGAGGGGGAGGGAGAGGGCGAGGGCGACACCUCGGCUGGGCGUUUGGCAAAUGAAAAAGCAGAAAAACGAAAAUAAUAAUAUUUUCAUUGGUUUAUUGGGCCUGUAAUGGGCCGGGUUUCUACGGUUUUACUAAGGCCCGUAUUUAUACAUAAUAAACGAGCCCAAACCAGAAUGAGCUCUUAGUACAAAUCCGUACGUACGUUACGCCAGUUGAUCUACUGAACAUGUUGGGAGCUGAAUGAGCUAUAGGGCUAUGGCCACCACCAAUCCUCGAACACGUCUCAAGGCUUGGUUCGAUGAAAGCUAGAACGCGAGGUAUGUUAUUCAGACUGUGAAUAUGAAUCAUUGAUUAAGUUAAUUCUUCCCGAAUUAGUUCAGAUUUAUAGUCUUGCAACAUGAGACGACAAGAGAACGCUAACAUACGCUUGCGUAGGUGCAUAUAAUCCAUAUUUUGUGAUUUAUGUGACACUCAUCUAAUAGCAAGAUUGCGCAUUCAAUUAUGAGAAAAUAUAGCUUCUUCAUGUAAACACACUGUUCACUGAAAAUUGGUGCAGAGGAUGAGAUUGAUUUUAUUUUCAAGCUUAGAGCCAGUAAUUUUACAAAGCUGUAGUUUAUAAUGACCACGGGGCUCGGUGUACAUCAGACUACAAAAACCCAACAAACUACAGCAUUUUAACCUAUAAGGCUGACAAGUCAUUUUGAUGUUUGAAGCUUCAAGCUUCAGAGUGCAUGCCACUAGGAACUUCAGAAAAUCCGGAGUCAUGGCUAGGGUUCUCUUGUAUUUCCAAAGUUUAGCUGAGAUAAAUAGACGGUCCUGGAGAUGAAUUCCAGUGAUCUUUGACAUGCGGACAAGUACUAUUCAUGAUGUAUGCGUUAUUGGUCACAAGAAUUUGUUUUUGACUAACUUCUUCAGCUCCUCCAGUUUUUGAAUGAUCUUUGGAUUCAUGAGGUCUCUUGCUUCCCUAAUUAGAGUGCCUUCCUGGCUGAAAUGGUAAGCAUCCACAACAGCCUUUAUCCAGGUGUGGAGCUUCUCUGGAGUCCUGAUAAAAUUAAAUAAGAAAAAGGAAAGGAUAGCGUACAUGAGCUUUGAAAAACAGAGGAUAGCCGUUCAACUUCAUACAGCUACCAAAUGUAUAAAUUUCUACGAAGUCAUUAGAAAGAGUAAUUAAGUUUUUGAUGCAUACGUGAAUAGGUUAUCUACAUCUUUCCCUUCAAGUUCCUCUCCUGGGGUAAAUGCAUCAUGUAAUGCAGACAGACGCUCCUCAGGAUCCUCAAUGGUGAGAAGAUACUUAAUUAUCCGAAUUUCUUUUGGCAUGAGCUUCUGGAGAUUACCUCUUGCAGUCACAUACAAAUGAUAUAAUACAUCUUUCACCUACUCAAACAAAAAAAACCCAUAAAUUAGAAAGUAUUACACCACCCAAAAAAUAGAAGUUUGGCUUCCUCUUCUUUGUUUCUUUUUUUUUUUUCUUGGGAGGUUGGGAAUCACAAUCUAAUCAAGCUCCGUGUGUCUGUUCAUAAAAUAAUUCUAGGACCAGUACGUCAAAAUGAUACUUGUCUCUAUGUUAUGCAUACGAACAACUUGGAUUGUCAUAGCCACAUAAUAGUGCUGCGACAGCUUAAUCAAAAUUGGAGAAAGACAGUAUCUCUGGCAAGCUAUCAUCUCACCUCAUCUUUUGUCAUGCUCGACUCCUUGGCAGCUGACCAAGCUUUUGUAAUCAUCAUCACCAAUGUUGAGUCGAGUUGACUUUUCUCAGCCAAGUGAUCUAUCUUCCUACAAGCAGCAUCAACAGAAGGAGAGUUGAUAAUAUCUUGAAAUUUCAACUCUGCAGCAUUCAGUGCUUCAAUGCUUUCAGUUGCAGAAUCAUAUGCUUGUACAGCAGCCAAGCACGUAUUUCCAAUACUUGCCAAACCUAUUCAUAUAAGAGAUUGUAAGUUUUUACCCACAAUGUAAUGGAGUAACAAAUAUAUAGAGAUUGGCUGGAUUUCAGGCCUCGUCAUUUAAACUAGCUCACUUCUUGCCCCACAAGGUUAGGCCGUUUCCAAUUCAAUGGCUUGUUUUUUCUUUCCGACUUAAUUUUGGUUAAAAUCCAGACCUGUUAAGGCCUUGCACGGACCCAAUUGCAUAAUUUAAUGUAUAUAAUUUCUUUUUGGCCUCGAAUGUAUCUAAUUUAAAUUAUUAAAAACUACACAAAACCUGCAGUUUACAUUAUUAAUAGUAACGCAACAAAUUAGAUGACAUGUAAACAAGUCUUGGUUUUAGUGGCACUUUCACACAGUAUUUAAGCAAGUACCCCUAAUUAAAUCAGCUAGAUAACUGCUAUAUCUAGUUUGCUACCCCCAGCUGAUAUUAGAACAUAGGUGUAUCAUGCUUUUAAAUGAAGGCAGGCUGAUUAUCUUUUUACUCUUAACGAUAUAUGAUUUGGACAAAGGCAGGAAGGAAUGAUAGUGAUUAAAUGAUAUCAUGCUUCAAGAACAAGACAAACACUGUUAAUUAUAUAAUGCACAUCUUUUGCAAACAAAGUGAUGAGUAUAUCAUAAAUAUUACAUAGUCUCACCAUUUUGCUCUGUUGGAUUGUCGUAAUAGGAUUCAGCAACAGUGUGAACAUGCACAAAAAAUUCUUGUGUAAAAUCUUUGCGACGUCUGGAAACUAUUUCACUAAUUUCUGAUGGAGCCCCUCUAACGACUUUAAGAAGUUCAUUGUGUCUUUGCACAUCUUCAUCAAUCUGCAAAGAAGCAUCCAAUACUGUUAAGUUAACAGCGCAACAAACUCAAACAAAUUUAAGCAUUCCUUGAUGAUUAAAAGAGCCACCAAAUAGAAAAAAACCAAUUUCCUCGUAUAGUCAUGGAAAGGGAAAAUUUGAUUUUAAAUUAUCCUCAUCACAAGUUAUCACUCCAGGAGAUUGUGAACAUCCUUUUAGUCUUGUACUCCCAACAAGUAUUAUCUUAAGAAGUAAAAGCCUGCUUUUUUCUUUAGUGAAGGGGAAUUUGAACCUGAUUGAGGAAGCUGUAGUUAGGAUCAUGGGAGAAUACGCCUACAACCAGGGUUAGCUCACUCAUAGACCAAAGGGUGGAAAAAAAAAAUCUUCUAAUCAGAAGUAAAAAUAUAAUAUACCUUAAAUAAAAGACAUUUAGGUCACCAGUAUGGUAGUGUCACUUUCAGGGCUUAUCAUAUUUUGACUUGCUAGACCUACCUCUUUCAAUUUCCGCCCAAGCCGUAGUAGUUUAUGCUUCAUUCCAGGAUCAUCCUCAGCAUCUGCCCGGUCCUGACAGCGCUUAUAGAAAUGAGGCCGGAUAUCAUCCCAUUCCUUACUGAAAGCUAAUAAUCUUCUCCAGUCAGUUGGAGUGGGCUUGUCAACCAAGAAAACCUCAAUAAGCUUGUCACAUACUUGGGUCAUUUUGUGGUCAUCCAAGCCCCCCACACCACCUUUCUCUUCCCCCUUUUCACCACUUCCUCUGGAUUCAUCUUCAACCAAUGUGGCGUUAGAAGAAUCAGAAAUGGACAAUUCUUCUGCACUAGAACAAUCAUUUGGAACUGCAGUUGUAUCACCAACAGUAGCAGCAGCAACAGGUCUGACUGGUUGUUUAACUGGUAAGAGACAACCUAGCAGUUCAUAACAGCAAUCUAUUACACAGUCACUUCAAAACAGCAGUAAACAUGGUUAGCCUAAAUACAACAAACAUUCCUCCUAAAAAAUCAGCAAGGUGUUUCCCAAUUCCUUUGAUUCUUUUUGGACACAAGUUACAUAAUUUUUCUUUCUUUUCAGCUUCCAAAUUUGACAUAUGACAUACACAAAGGCUUCGAUGUCAUAGAAAGAGGCUUCGGAGAUAAACUAAAGCACAAAAAAGACAAUUACAUGUAGGCUUAGUUCAAAUUAACAAUACCAAGUUUAUGAAAAAUCAAAAGGAAAUUAUCAAAUUAAGCAUGUUCUAAACCUGCCAGUUCAUAACAGCUAUCUGUUACACAAACACCCUCAACCCAGAUACAAAAAAUGCUCCUUCUAAGAAACUAACAACGUAUUUCCCAAUUCCAUUGAUUCUUUUUGGACACAAGUUCAAUUUUUUUUUUCACUUAAUAAUCACAAAUUAACAGCAAUCACUUGUAUGGUGAGUGCAAAUUAACAAUACCCAUUUCAGGAAAAAUCAAACGCAAAGUUAAGUUCGUAAAUUUGGAAUAAAUGAGCAAAGAGUACAUACCAUUGGUGAUUUUGGAAGAUAGGGAAAUACUUCUAGACGAGAUUCUGACGAAAGAGAGAGAAGAAGCGCGGUCUCUGGUAGCGGUUUUAGGGGCUCUUAGUGGGAAAGAACAAGAGGGUUGGAGAGUGGCAGUAGAAACCUCCAUAGAGUUUGCGCCAAAAUUAUUUGCUUGCCCGGAAGAGAUGGAGGAAAAAGAAAUGGCAACGUACUGUAAAGGGUUUUUCAAGCCAACUAUAAAGAGCAGGAGGGUUUUUCACCAAAUUUCCCUUAAACUCACCCCAACUUUUAAAAUUUGGUUUUUUGUCAAAAAAAAAUUGAUGUCCUAUUGAGUAUUUUGAUUUUUUUAUGAGAUUUUGGGAUUUAAAAAAUUAAUAGCAGUUUUGUAAUUUAAAAGAAGUUAAAAAGUAUUUUUGUUAUUUUAUAAAUAAGUUUUGUGUGUUUCUAAAGUCCAUUUCAUAUAAAGUUUUUAUUAUAAUUUGGGUUCUUAUAUCAGGUAUAAUAGGAAAUUUCUCAAAACAAAAAGUAUUUUUCUUAAAAUAUUCUGAAAAUUUAAGUUUCGAGAAAAAUUAGGAGGAUAUUUUAAAGCGGGGUGCACUAACUUUUAAUGCCCAGCGGAGCCCAGCUUUCUCAAACUGAGAUUCUGUUUGAGUUCUUCUUUGUUUCGCGGGGAUUUUCAAACUGCAAAAUAGGCAAUGCUUUCGCCGACUCUCUUGCCACCACGUAUUGGCGUCAAUCUUUAUCAAACACCUUCUCUGCUCUCCAUUCAAUCACCAAUACAGAGAAAGCAUUCAAAUUCAAAGACCAGAAAUCGUAAAACCCCCACGAAUUUUCGUUGUUUUUAUUGCGAAAACCCAUCUUCUACUUACGACUUUGAGAAUUUAAGCUCCCAAGAAAACCCAGAUGCCGAAUUCUCUGAUACUCGGUCACUGAGCCAAAGCUCCAGACCCUAUUUGCUUGCUCUUUGGCUCCGCUCAUGUCGUAGUCUAAAUGAAGUGAGAAGAUUACAUGCAGUUGUUUUGAGGUGUUUAGCGAAUCCUGUUACGUAUGUUUUUAAUAAUUUGAUUUGUGCUUAUAUAGUGUUUGGGAAGUUAGUCGAUGCCCGCAAAGUGCUUGACAAAAUGACUGUUAGGAAUGUGGUUUCUUGGACCGCCAUUAUUAAUGGCUACUUGAACUUCGGUUUGGAUGAUGAAGCUUUGGGUUUGUUUAGUUAUGCUAUUAAUGAGGGGGUUCAACCGAACGGUAAUAUGUUUGUGUGUGUCUUGAAUUUGUGUAGUAAGAGGGUGGAUUAUGAGCUUGGGAGGCAAGUCCAUGGUGGUGUCUUGAAGGGUGGUUGGAGCAACUUGAUUGUUGACAGCGCCGUUGUUAAAUUAUAUGCGCAAUGUGGAGAGCUGUCAAGUGCUUACCGCGCAUUUGAUCAGAUGCCAAAGUCGGAUGUAGUUUGUUGGACAACUAUGAUAACUGCUUGUUCCCAACAAGGGCAUGGACAGGAGGCUUUUUCACUGUUCUCGCAAAUGUUAAGUGAGGGGUUUUCGCCUAAUGAGUUUACGGUGUGUGGUGUUCUCAAGGCUUGUGGGGAAGAGAAGGAGUUAAGAUUUGGGAGGCAAUUACAUGGUGCCAUAGUUAAGAAGAUUUACAAGAAUGAUGUUUUUAUAGAAACUUCUCUAGUUGAUAUGUAUGCAAAAUGCGGGGAGAUGAUAGACUCAAGAACCGUAUUUGAUGGAAUGAGGAACCGAAAUACAGUUACAUGGACAUCUAUUAUAGCAGGGUAUGCUCGGAAGGGCUUCAGUGAGGAGGCUAUAUGCCUCUUUCAAGUAAUGAAGAGGCGAAAUAUAUUUGUCAACAACUUGACCAUUGUAAGCAUCCUCAGAGCAUGUGGCUCAAUGAGGGAUUCGCUGAUGGGGAGGGAGGUUCAUGCACAGAUAGUAAAGAACUCAACUGAAACCAAUUCACACCUAGGAAGUACUUUAGUGUGGUUCUACUGUAGGUGUGGGGAGUACUCUAAUGCUACAAAGGUCCUCCAACAAAUGCCUCUAAGAGAUGUUGUCUCAUGGACAGCCAUCAUUUCUGGCUGUGCACAUCUUGGGUUUGAGUCUGAAGCUCUUGAAUUCUUGAAUGAAAUGAUGGAGGAUGGGGUGGAGCCCAAUGCAUUUACUUACUCAUCCGCUCUGAAAGCAUGCGCCCAGCUGGAAACCGUUCUGCACGGGAAAUUGAUUCACUCCUCUGCAAAUAAAAGUGCUGCCAUGUCUAAUGUUUUUGUGGGUAGCGCUUUGAUUUCUAUGUAUGCAAAAUGUGGCUAUGUAACGGAGGCAUUUCAAGUUUUUGACAGCAUGCCAGAACGGAAUUUGGUUUCUUGGAAGGCUAUGAUAGUGGGUUAUGCAAAGAAUGGUCUCUGCCAAGAGGCUAUGAAGCUCAUGUAUCGGAUGCGAACAGAGGGUUUUGAGGUGGAUGAUUACAUCCUUGCCACUGUUCUUACUGCAUGUGGAGAACUCGGAUGGGAGAUGGACCCUUCAUGUGAGUGUAGCUUGCAGUCCAGUUGAUCCUUUUGCCUGAUCAAAACUUCAGAUGAAGGUGGAAUUGUGUUGAAGAUAUCGAUGGCUACCCAUAUGAGAUAUAUAUAUAUAUAUAUAUAUAUAUCCACAAUAUCCAGUGUAUCUAUCAAUUGAAAAGGGGAAAGAUAAAGCUGAACUGAUGGGAGGAAGCCCUUGUCAAGAUUGAUUGACAUACCACAACCUCUUAUUCGACAACGCCUACUCUUUCAUUAUAUAAAGGAAGAAGGGGAGGGUUCAGGUUUGUAAACUUCUUAUACAAGUGAUAUGCCCUCGUAGCCUUUUCUUCGGAUGAAAGUUACCGAGUAAGGGCCCUGGGAAAUACUGAACCCUGCAAAUAUGAACAAAUAGCAUGGAGAAUGCAAGCAGAAGCAGUGUUCGCUGUAGGGUAGCUAUGUAAAUAUGCAUUCAGUUUAACAAGCCAUGUAUCAUGUAUGUUGUGAAAUGUAAGAUGUUAGAUCUUCUCAAUAUAGUCUGCAUUUUCAGAAAAUUUUCUUUGCAAGUUCAUAUUUUCCUUGAACGAAUAGUGUUAAUGGCUCAUACCAUCACUGUGAGCCGAGCUUAUUAGAGAACGCCACGUGGCUGUAGUUGGGCUGGGUUACCUUUAAUACCAACCCGAUCAUACUUGGUACCCUCGAGGGUCGAUAAAAGGCCUCCUAGCCAAGAUCUGACAGGAUAAGGGUCGAAUCCGCUCUCAGUUAUUUGAUCACAAACCCGACCACUCUGGUGUUGUGUUCAACCAGAUGCGCAUUAAUGAUCCACAGACAUGAUCAGACCCCUGUCGAGUCAAACACUCCACCCCUUUGGUAAGACAGCCUGGCAAGUGAGAUAAAUCAGUUAAUGUACAUCCCAUCCAAGACCAAGUGUUGCCUUACCUUUUGAUCCCUGAGUGAACAGACUGGUGAUGGAGAGGGAUCAUUUAAUAUACCUCCCAUCCAAAGCCACAUGUCACUUCGUCACACAAUCCCUGCCAAAUAGUAUGGUGAUCAGAAACAGGUCAUUUAAUGUGGUCUAGUCCUACCAGGGGGAAGGAAGAUAAAUAUCUCCUCCUUAAGUAUCUUUGUCUCUUCUUCUCCCCCUAUAAAUACCCAUCACCUAUCUCUGGACAAAGGUAAUAAAACUCUCAUCUUGUAAACCCUAUAUCCAUUCUCUUCAACUUACAACCAUUUAUGACUUAACCAUCGGAGGGAGUUCAACUGGAACCACCCUCAGUUCGCUCAUAUUCUUAUAGCUGUUCAAAGUGUGCAGGUCUUCUACGGAGAGCAUCUCAACCCAAAAGAUCCGGUAUAGGCCUUGACCUCAAUCUAAGUCCAGGCUAUACAUUUUACGAAAAAGAUACGCGGUUUACAAAUAGAGUAGAAGUUUAUGGUAUUGGUCCACAUGUUGGCUCCUCCGUGACUAGCGCCUUUCCUCUAGAUAGAAUGAAUUUGGUGUGCACUUUGACCGUUUUGGCCUUCUUAUAUUUUAUAUUAAUAUAUAGAUAAAUAGAUACCUUUAAAGAAAGUUUAGCUAAAAUUAAAAUGCUCCUUAAAAGUGUUUAUUUAAUCCUAAAAAAGCACUUUUGUCUUCUUUUUUCUGACGUGCUUUUAAUUCUUUUAACCCUACUGAAAUUUUUUCCAGACAUGCCCUAUAUUUUAUUUGUAAUUAGAGGGAUUCUUAAGUAGGGUUGCCACAUAAGGUAGUUUUUUAACAUUGAAUAUUUAUUGAUAUUAUGCUUUAAAAUCGAGAUUUUAACUAUAUUGUUUACACAUAUUAUACCAUAUUGACAAAUUAUUGCACAUAGUGGUAUUUCAAUGUCAUACGAUAAUAUCUCAUCUUCUGUGAUGUUGAUAAAACAUCACACUUGGUCAAGGAUUUUUUCAUGUAUAUGAUCACUUCAAUUAUUUUAUCACAUAAAAAUUGACUAAUUAAACAUAUCAUUUUAAAAAAGGAAUUAACUUUACGUAUGUGGUACAAAAUAUAUAUAAAAACAUGAGUUAUUUGGACAAAGAUUCACUAAUUUCAAACACAAAGUCGCUAUUUAUUUAUUUAAUUUUUUUUUUGUGUAAGAAAAUUCAACCCGAUCAGUCCACACGUAUAUAAAAUACUGAAGUGUGUACUGGGUCGAAAGUCCAAAAACCCACUCUUAAAUAUUUAUCUUCUUGAGCCCACGGACUUCCCGCUUCCUGCGUUCCUCUCUUCCCUCUGAAAAUCGCGGUUUCAUUUCAGUCUCUCUCUCUCUCUCUCCCUCUCCCCAAAAACCAAUUGUAACUCUCUCUCUCUCACACCAUUUAAUGUCAUCUCUGUAACUGCUCAGAGAUCUCUCUCUCCAGUUUCGCUCUUCUUUUUCCUUUUUGUUUCUCUCUGAACUGUUCCUCCCCAAUCCCAUCGCGCUCUCUCAGCCCAUUUCAGAUCUGUAAGAUUUUCUUUCUCGUUCUCUCUUUCGGUUUUGUAAAUUUGUUUACUUUAUUAGUUAAUUCUUUUCAAUGGGUUACUAUAUUUUCUUAAUUACCUGUUUGUUUACUGGGAAAUUGAGGAAAUUGGGAUGGAAAGUCAUUUGUGCUUUACUAUCUGCACCCGCUCUUUGGUCAAAAUAGUUGAAAAUUCACCUUUGCAUAAUGCUAUUAUAUAGGAAACAGUGAAGGCUUGCUUUUUGUUGGGUAUACAAAAAAUUGUACUGUCUUCAUACAUAUACCAAACAUGCAGGUAGUCAUUUUGACCUGUUUAUUGGGCAAGGAUCUUUCUCUUAAGCGAACAAUAUGACUCGCUGCCUAGCCUGUAACCAGUCAAAUGGUUUCUUGUUUUUGCACUUUCUUUCUUGAUUUGCAGAUUCUUGUUUACACACUUGUGAGUUUAGGUGAGGUCCAAGCACGGCCCUUUCUUGAAAUUUUAGUGUAUGAAUAUGAGCAUGCCAAGUCAUGUGUAUCUCCUUAUUUUUCAAUUUUCAAUUUUUUUUACGUUUGCUUAGUGGGCCGGCGGCAGUGUGUGCUAAAUUGGAUACAUGGUGUUUGCUAGACUUUCACGGAUGACUCUACCAGCAAAAGAAGCAUUAACUUUUGGUGUAUGGAAAAAUAUAUAGCAACAUGAUCAGUGGAAAAACUAUUUUUUAUUCUUUCUGUGGAUAUUCUUACCCAUUAAGUUUAAUAGCUCCUUUUGUUGUUUGAUUCGCAACUGAGGUAGCCAGGUUGCUGUUCAUGAAAGCCAUCACUUAAUUUAGGUGUUUCUGAGUGAUGUUAGUAUUGCUUAGGCAUUGGUUGGUGGCAACCAGGAACCACACGCAAAUUUUUUGUUUGGUGAAGUGUUAAUAAAUUGCUUUAGUACUGUUUAAUCUUCAAUCUUUAUUAGCCGAUUACAAUCUUGCUAGAGGUGUUCAUUGAAAAUAACUUUUUUGAUGAGCUAGGAUUUUGCAAGCCAAAAUUUUAUUGCAAUAUUAGUUUAUUGAAUCAAUCAACACUCAGCAGCUUUGCAAGUCAUGACAUUGUUAAAUUUUGUUUAAACUAUUGCAGGAUCCUGCAUAAAAUCAUUCAAUGUUCACAGUCUAAACAUUUUAGGGCUAUCUUUUAAUGAGUUAGUGCUUGAACUUUAUUCUUCCCUGCCUCAUGGAGAAGGAGGCUUCAACUAAGGAAAAUGUCACAAGUUCUCUGGCUGCUCAGAAGUUGGCUAGAGAUACACUUGAUCUUCAGAAAUCUCAGGGAGGAGAACCAUCAAGGGAGAUUGAAUCUGUGAGUAUCAGCAUUGGUGGUCCCAAGUUAGAGAAUAAUGGAGAAGAUGGAUUGGUUGAAAAAAUGGAUGUGAGCGGUGAUUUGAAAUCUAAAGAGCAGGGUAAAAAGUUAGACAGUAAUCCAAGUCACAGUGGCGUGGGUGAGAAGAUUGAUGAGAGAAUGGAUUUGGAGUCUAAAGCUCAAGAAAAGGAUUCAGACUCAAAUAAGGAACAAAAUGACUCUGGUCAUAAGGUGGCGUCAACAGCUCAAGAAGAAAAAUUACACAAUGAUGGACAUGAUAACUUGGGUAAGAAGACAGAUCAGGGUAAGGAUUUGGAGUCCAAAGCUCAAGAGGAGACAAACCAAACAACAGAUAAAAUUCUUGGAGAGGAGGAGGAGCUAGAGCCAGUCUUUGAUGGAACUGAGGUUCCUGGGAUGGAAGCUAACAGAAGUAUGUCCACCCAUACUUUAGAUCUUGAUUCAGAGACCCAGGGAGUAGUCAAAAAGGCAGUGGCGCUAACAAACCUUGUUAAGAUUAAAGGUGUAGUUGUAGUCUCCACUUUUCUGCGUCGCCUUUCUGGGAAAAGAGAUGAAGACGAACAAGAUGUUCUUGACAAUGCAGAUAAGAAUGCUUCAGAUUCCACUAAAGACAAUGAAGCUGGAGAAGUCUCUCAGAAAACAGUGGAUAGAUCUGCAUGGAAUCCCCUAAGCUUUAUUAGGACAUCCCAAGAUGGUGAUGCAGAAAACAAAGCUGAGCAGAGGGAGGAGGUCAUUGAAGAACCAGCACAAGCUAUAGCCAUAAAGGGAAGAGUUAUACUGUACACGAGAUUAGGAUGCCAGGACUGCAAAGAGGCUAGAUUAUUUUUGUAUAGGAAGAAGCUCAGAUAUGUUGAGAUCAAUAUUGAUGUAUUCCCCAGUAGAAAGCUUGAGUUAGAGAAAAUUGCUGGGUCUUCUUCUGUUCCAAAAGUUUUUUUUAAUGAAGUCCUUAUUGGAGGCUUGAGUGAGCUAAAGGGCUUGAAUGAGUCUGGAAAGUUUGAUGAGAAGAUUGAUUACCUGAUCAGUGAACCACCAUCAUUUGAAGCUCCUUUGCCACCACUUUCGGGUGAAGAUGAUUUGUCCAAUAGUGGAGCUAUUGAUGAACUAGCUUUAAUUGCCCGGAAGAUGAAAGAAUUUGUUAUUGUGAAGGAUCGGUUUUAUAAAAUGCGCAGGUUCACGAACUGUUUUUCAGGUUCAGAAGCGGUGGAUUUCUUAGCAGAGGAUCAGUAUCUGGAAAGGGAAGAGGUUAGUUAGUUUCUUUUCAGUUAUUGGGAAAGCAGUGGUCAUAUGACUUCCAUCUUUCAAUUGGCCAGAUUAUUUUGCAUUUUACAAGGAAUUACUGGGCUUCAUUUUCUUUUAGUUUGUUGGUCGUAAGUCAUGCUUUUGGAUUCUGUCUUAUAUACGUGAAAUUAUUUCAAUUUUUACGUGCGUUGGGUUUACUACAAAUGCAAAAUUAGUUUCCAGUUUAAUCUCAUUAUCAUUAACUCUUCCCUUUUCCUUUUGGUUUGUGUUAUGAGACAGGCAAUUGAAUUUGGGAGAAAGCUUGCAAGCAAACUCUUCUUUCAUCAUGUUCUUGAGUGAGUCCCUUGAAGUUUCCCUUGAAGUGUCUUUAAAUUCUCUUCUGCUUUGUUUCAUUGCUAGAACAGUCUGAGGGAAAGUAGUUCAAAAGAAAUGUGGAGGAAAAAACAUGAAGUGAAAAGUGAGGUCUCAGCUCUCCGUGAUUCAUUGUCUUGUUCAAAAGGACAGUUAGUGGUGGAAGACACAUAUUUUCCUAUAAAAUGCAUGAUAUUUAAGCGAAGAAUUUUAGCUUAUUUUAUAUUAUUUUUUUAAUGCCAAACCAAUUUGCAUCACAUGUAUUAUUCCAUUGUUGACGUUUUCUCCUCUUGUGUUUCUCUAGGGAAAAUCUAUUUGAGGAUGGGAACCACCUGUAUCGGUUCUUGGACGAUGAUCCAAUUGUAUCUCAAUGUCACAACAUCCCAAGGGGUAUAAUUGAUGUGAAGCCAAAGCCCAUCCUAGACAUUUCAUCAAGGUUGAGAUUUUUAUUUUAUGCAAUCCUUGAAGCCUAUGUGUCAGAAGACGGAAAGCAUGUUGAUUACAGAAGUAUCCAUGGAAGUGAGGAAUUUGCAAGGUUUUUCUUUUCUUUUCCUUUUUUGUUUUCCUCAAAUGAGUUCUUUUAACUGCUAUUGGGAAAUGCAGUUUUGUGUCUUGAUAAACUAUUUUUGUUUUUAUAUCUAAGAUAUUGUAGAUGGUAAAUAUCUUUGUAGGUAUCUGAGAAUAGUAGAAGAGCUUCAAAGAGUGGAAGUGAAGGAUAUGCAGAGGGAGGAGAAACUUGCUUUCUUUAUAAAUCUCUACAAUCUGAUGGCCAUCCAUGCAAUAUUGGUAUGGGGUCAUCCAGCUGGAGCAAUUGAACGAAAGAGGUUGUUUGGAGACUUCAAGUAUGUUGUUGGUGGAUCCACAUACUCACUUUCAGCUAUUCAAAAUGGUAUUUUACGGGGAAACCAGCGACCACCAUACAAUCUCAUGAAGCCAUUUGGUGCAAAAGAUAAGCGUUCCAUGGUAAGACGGUACUAAUAUUCUUCAUUAUUGAUAUGGUUUAAACUUAUACCUGGCACAUCCAUCAUGUGUGUGUUUUAAUAGUUAACAGACAGGGUUUUGUGUUUACAUGUACAUGGUUAAACACAUUGUCUUUCCAGAAUUGUAGUCUGCCAGUCAACUCUUAUCUUAUUUCCUAAGAGCUCAGCCUCUUUAUUGUACCUCAUUUUUGCCCCUUUCCAUACCAGGUGACUCUUCCUUACUCAGAGCCUCUUAUUCAUUUUGCGCUGGUUUGUGGUACUCGAUCUGGCCCUGCUCUUCGAUGCUAUUCUCCAGGGGAUAUUGAUAAAGAACUGAUGGAAGCAGCUCGUAAUUUCUUAAGAAAUGGAGGUCUUAUUAUUGAUUUUGAUACCAAGGUUGCAUCAGCUAGUAAGAUUCUUAAAUGGUAAGCUGUUCUAAACAAAGGCUCUAAUUUAUAUUCUUAAUCCCAAAACCUUCCUCCUUAUUGUGUGAUAUUCUGAAACAUUUUUAAUAAUUACCUUGCCUCAUCCAACAACACUUCUUAAUGCUCAGGUUUAGCGUUGAUUUCGGCAAGAAUGAGGUAGAGGUACUGAAGCACUCAUCAAACUACCUCGAGCCGGCUGUCUCAGAAGCUUUACUGGAAUCGCUUGCCAAAUCUCAGCUGAAGGUGAUGUACCAGCCUUAUGACUGGGGUGUGAACUGCUAACGCCAUUAUACCUUUCUUGCAUACCAUAUACAGCUUUAAAUAGCUUCCCUUGUUUUACCAAAGUUUAGCAUAAGUGAAGGGAUGGGGAUACCCUUCAUUAUGGAUAUCUCCAUUUGUAGUUCCAUAGUCACAGCAGGAUGCAUUUUUCGAUAAAUACGUCCGGCAGAUGCAUUGGAGAUGUACUUGGCUCAUACAUGAUGGUCUUGGUUUAAAAUUAAAUUACAAUGUUGCUUAUGUCUUUUAGUUUUUACUCUGAUGUUUUGAUAUGCACUGAUUGCUUAAUAGAACAUUUGUGAAUCCUGCAUUUCCAUGAUCUUUACAGAAGAGAGAAACCCAGGAACAGGUAGCUUUUUAGUGAACAGUUUUAGUUUGUGCAAUGUUGUUUAUAAUGGUCAGAAUGAAUCAUUUCUCGGGAAAUCUUGCAUUCCUGGAUUUUGAGGGAUUAGAUAAAAUUUCAAAUGGUCUAAACAUUGCAUUGCAUUGUCAAAUCCAAUAUUUUUACCCAAAAAAAAUAUAUAUUUUUAAAAAAAGAAAAAACCCUCUACCAAAACUGAUGUUAGGACCUCGGGUGCACGGAUAAAUGCUCUUAACCACUUGAGCUAACAGCCUCUUGCUUUUCCAACCCAAAUUUAGUCUAAUACAAAGCUUAAAACUUAAGAAAAAAAUAUCAAUCUUUGAUUACAGUCAAGGGUCUAGAUCACUUGAAACAACCCCAAAUUGAAAUAUACAUUAUUUAUGCUUACACAAGAUUUCUUCACCAUACAUAUGUCCUAAAGCUGGUGGUAAUUAAAUUUCAGAGUUAUGACUCAUGCAUGAGUCACCUUCCUUGAGCCCUUCAAGCACCCAUCAUUGCCUGCCAAUGCCAUAUACUUGUCUUUCCUUGUGAGUCUGGUGCACCUAAAAUCUAAGGCCCUGCCAAUCUCAUUUUGUACAUAAUUGGCAACUUCAAACCUUGAUUUUCCACCAAGCUUGCAUGUGUUUGAUCCUGGCAGAUUCUCAAGGAACUUGAGGCUAUAAACAGGAUUUGGGUUCAUAAAAUGAAAAACUGGAUCCAAACAUUUGAACCCACUAGCACUUGUGCCAUAAAACAUGUUCACUUUCACAUCUAUGGCCACAGGAACAAUGUCAUCUGUGAGCUCAGCAAACAAUGGACUGAACCUUAACAGAUAAGGCUCUCUGCAUGUGGUUCCUUCUGGGCAAACCACUAGGUCACCUUGGCUCAACAGCUUCUCCAUUUUUUCCCCAUCUCUCUCUCUGUCUCUUGUUAAUCUGACAGUCUUCAUGGGAGCAAUUUUCUCAUUCACUGUGCUUAAGCUGUAAGUGACAGCAGUGAGAGAUUUGUUGGUGGCUAAUUGAACAUAGAGAGGAUCAAGCAAGGUUCUGUGGUUGCAAACAUAGAGUCUGCCUCUUUGUUUUUCUCCUUCACCAUUUGUUGAGGAAAUAGAAGACUUGGGUUUUGAAAUUGUGGUGAUUGUUCCUGUGAAGGCUAAGAUUGGAGUGCAAAUGCUGUGAGGUAGAAAUAUGCCAGAAAGGAAUCUUAGGAUGCAUAGGAAAAUUCCUAGUGGCAUGUACAUGAACAUGGCCAAGGUGGCAAGUUGGGUUGGUUUGAAGGCCAAUCUUCCAUCAUGGAAAAUCAAUGGUUCUGGGUAUUUCUCUCUUGGAAGGCUUUUCCAGCUUUGUUUCUCAGCUUCGGUCACCAAGUAAACCUCCUGAAAAAUAUAUAACAUGGGUAUUGUUAGGAAAAUGUUCAAAACCCAAAAACAGUUUCAAAUAGAGAGAGAGAGACAGAGAGAGAUGAGAGACCAUUGACCAACCUUGCAAUGAGAAAAGAGUUGCUCAUGCAUAUUUUCAUUGUGGCAACCAAUUAUACCAAUUGCUUGAUAAUCUGACUUUUUCUCUCCAAGAAUCAGAUUUGAAUCCAAACUGUUUGUAUUUUUUGCCUCCAUCAAACCCACAAAGUAUCCACCAACCACUUUUAGUUCUCUUGCAACAACAACAUCAACACUAACAUAAUCUUUCAAAAAUCCUCCAACCAUGACUCUAGGCAAGUCACUAAAUCCAACUUUUUUCCCACAUCUCAUCACCACAUCAAACCCUUCACACCCAACAUCCUCCAAAAAGAACUUGGGCAGCACGGAUGUCCCAACUCUCAUUUUUUCCUUCCUAAUUCCAAAAAAGCACAAAAAAACCAUGAUGUUGAGCCCCAGCUCUCCACCAACCAAACAAAUAAAAGGGCUUAAAAGAAACAAAAUUAGAGCCCUCAAAAGCCCACCAGCUUCAAAGGCCACAAGCAUGAAGUAAGGAAACAGGGAAGGUGACUUCAAAAGUGUCUUCUCAAAGUGGAAACAAAUUGCUUUGUUUGAAAGCUCCCUUGCUGAUUGAGCAAGGGAAUUGAAUUUCUGAAAUUUUAAGUGGUUUGCAUGGGGCUUGGUGGCCUCGUAUUCUAGAGGGGAUGUUUCCCUAGGCUUGCUAUGGACUUGGAAGGAAGAGGAAAGAGCUUCUAGUGAGCAUAGGUUUCCAGACAUCUUCGGUUGCUUGCUACUUCUUUUGUUGCAAUCGAUGCACCAAUAUAUUUAUACUUGUUUCGUUCAUUUAUGAUUCUAUCGAAGUUUAGGUAUGGGUUUUCAAUUGACUACAUAUAAGUACACAUGAUAUUUUCAGCACCAAAAAGGCAUAAAGAAUAAAACAUAGAUAUAUUGCUUAAAAUUAGAAAUUGUAUUUUAUUUUUAGUAUUUGUAUUGCAUUAAAGAUCGAAGAUACUGUGGGCUCAUUCUCUCUUCAAAAAUAAAAUUGUGUUCAUUUUGUCCCAUAUUUAUUUUGUAUAUUUCUCUAAUAUUUAGUGACUAAAUUUUCAAUUCACUAAUCUCAUGUCCGAACUCCCACGACAUAUUAAUUGGAUGUGUGUUAAAAAAAAAAAAACACCCCCUUCCUAACUUUCACAACAACUGGAUUAACUUAUUCUAGGCUAGAUCUCCAAUAUAACCAAACAAAUUAUAUUACUUACACAAAACUGUAGUUACACUUUAGCAUGUACAUAUUUUAUCUUAUUGUGACACAUAAAAAUUAUUUUUACACAAUACAAGUGAUAUUUGAGACAUGAAAAUUGAACACAUGAUCUCGAAUGUGUCUCAUGUUGGAAAUGGAAGCUUAGUAUAAAGAGAUUAAAAAAUAUCUUGAGCAUCUCCACUUACUUAUUGACUUUGAAUUGAAUGCUAUCACAUUCUAACAUGAUAAACUUAAAAGAUCUUAUGCCUCUCUCCAUCCUUUGUUAAUUAGUUUUGAGUUGCAAGCUGUUCAUAUUCUAACAAUUGUAUUAUAAUAACCUAAAUUAUUUACUUUUAAAAAACAACAAUAACACUUUAGUACGUACGUAUUUUACAUCACCUAAACAUGUAUCCUAGGUACACGUUAAUAAAACCCUUCCAACUUACCACUAAAUGGUAAUCAACAUUAAAUUUUGAAAUGAUAAUCUUUUCUUGGUUGGUUUGUUGCUUUCUGCGAUGGACCCAAAUUUAUGGAUGAAUAGUUGAUGGACUGAUGGAGUUAUCAUACUGCAAAAACGACAAAAACACGCAUGAGAGAGAGAGAGAGAGAGAGAGAGAGAGAGAGAGAGUUUCUGGGCUCCGAUUAGGGGUGGGCGCGGUCCGGUUCGGUCCGGUUCUCACCUCAAACCGGAACCGAAACCGGUAUUAUUUAACCGGUCCGGUUCGGUCCGGUUUAGGCAAAAAAAAUUUCGAAAACCGGCCGGUUCGGUUCUAACCGGUUCUGACCGGUUCCGGUUUUGAACCGGAUUAUUAAUUUAUUAUUUUUUUAAUUUUUUAAAAAAAAAAAAAUUUUAAAUUUUUUUAAUAAAAAAAUUAUAAUAAAAAACUUAUUUUUUUAGCUUAAAAAUGAACAAAUAAUCCAAUUCAUACAUUUAGAAAUUUUUUGAAGUUGAACUUGGAAAAUUAGUGAUUAUAAAAGUUAAAAAAUGGCAUUAGAUUUUAAAAUUUUGUAAAAAUAUAAAUAUAAAAUAUAUGACCGGUCCGGUUCGGUCCGGUCCGGUGCGGAGAGAUGUAAAACCAGAACCGGAACCGGUUGGAACCGGUUCGGUCCGGUUCCGGUCCCGUUUGUUGACUUUUUUGGCAACCGGUUUUUUUUCCGGUUUUUUUUCACCGGUUCGGUUCGGUGUUCCGAUUUUCCGGUCCCGAUGCCCACCCCUAGCUCCGAUAUGAUCCUAUAUAUAAUGAGUGUGAUGGGUGUUGGUGAGUGGCAGUCCUAAGAUGAAUAACAGUGACCAACAACCACCACCAAAUCAUGAAAUGUCUAAAAUCUAACCGUCCAACAUAAACGUGCCUGCAUGGGCAACCAACCAACACGGCAUGACUAGGAGAGCAUGUUUGAGCAAAUUCAUCACAAUAAUGUACCAACAAUAUAUAUAUAUAUAUAUAGUCCAGUCAACUUGAUCCACGAAUUGUUUCGAUAAUGUAUUGAUACGUGUAAGGUCGCUGUAUUCAACAAUAUCAAUAAUAUCGACCACAUAUUUGCUUUUUUGAAAAGUACAUUUAACUGCAAUAUUAAAAAAUCUAUAUAUGUAUAGUCUAUUUUUUUUAGUACAAAUGAUUGAAGGAGGGACGUUUCUCACACACACUGUCAAAAAGUCAUGAAAAUUCGAAUAUGAAACUAAUAAUACGCAGGUCAAUGUUAUUUUCCUCUAAACUAGACACCGUUGACAAUGUCUAUAUAAUCGUUGCUAUACUAGGAGUAUAGCUGGAAACAAUCAACAUGAGAAAUUGAAAUAUAAGCAAAAGCUUGUAUAUGUUAAAUUUGUAGUUAAUUAGUUAAUUACCAAAAUAUCACUAAUGUGUAAAAACAAGAUUAAUGAAUAUACGAAUUGUUAAGGCAACGAAUUAUUAACAAAGGAACUGACACAAAAAUUGAAGCACUGUUUAUUUGUCAUAGCAAUAUUUGGAAGCUAUAAUUUGUCCAAAAAUAGAAUAAAGGAAAAAUGGAAAGUUUGUCGUUUAGUCUGUAACUCUUUGGUCCCCAUUUCAUCAAAAAAGUAAAAAAUGGAAAGUUUGUGGUAACCCGACAGAACUAUACGUUAAAAUUUACAAAUUAAUCUUUUCAGGUCCUUAAUUUACCCAGAUUAUAUUUUCGCCGAAAAAAAACAAAAAAAAAAAAAAAAAAAAGCAAAACAAAACCUAGAUUAUAUAAGUACAUGAUUUAUGCAUAGUUAUUUCUGUUUUUCGCGAAUUACCUUACAAUUACCCAUAUAAAGCCUAUUUGGAGGGAAAACCCCAAAACUAGCCACUUGUCAUUUUUUAAUUGGUUUUUAGUGUAUUAAAUUUUUUCUAAAACCAAUUAGAAAAUGACAAGUGGCUAAUUUUGGGUUUCUCCCUCCAGAUAGACUUUAUAUGAGUAAUUGUAUAAUAUAUCAUGCUAAAAUGAGUUUAUUGCUAAAAACCUAUGUAAGGAAUGCGUUGACUCGAAUAGGUUGCAAUAUUAAAGAGGGACACUCCUUUCCUCCUUCUAGGAAGGAGGCAUUCCUACUUCCUGCAAAUCACAGUUUGAUACAUAUGCAAAAAUAAUUCAUGAAAACUAAAAAAAGAAAAAUCUUUACACAUAUGUCAAACUAUGAUUGACAUGAAAGUAGGAGUUCCUACUUUCAAGAAAGGAGGCAAGUAUAAAACAUGUCAUUAAAGUUGUUUACUAUACCAUAUAGAUUAAGGGAAGUUAGAUUCUGGAUUCCUAUUGAAGUUGUUUACUAAACCAUAUGGAAUUGGGGUAGGAAUGGUAAUAAUUACUAAAAUGUCCUCAUUAUUGGUUUAAAGUAUAUGGCAAAUUUAGAAUUUUUAAAAUUGUGUGAGGAUAUAAUGAGUUUAAAAGAUGAAUUCUUAUGGCAUGUUUACAAAUUCAUAAUUUGUUAGGAUGAAUUGAAUUGAGGAAGAGGUGGAUUGAGGAGAAUUAGAUUCUGGAUUCCUAUUGAAGUUGUUUAUUAAACCAUAUGGAUUGAAGGAAGUUAGAUUUCGAAUUCCUAUUGAAGUUGUUUACUAAACCAUAUGGAAUUGGGGUAGGAGUGGUAUUAGUUACUAAAACGUCCUCGUUGUUGGGUUAAAGUAGAUGACAAAUUUGGAAUUUUAAAAAUUAUGUGAGGAUAUAAUGGGUAAAAAAGAUGAAUUUCUAAUGAGUUAGUUAUUCAUGAAUUAGAAUACCACCUCCCACUCAAGAAUUGAAUUACUUCCCUAUUUUGUGUGGACCCCUCUUACUUUUCAAUUCCUUGAUGUGAAUGAAUCCUCCAUAGGUGGAAUUCAAUUCCUAAUGAGAAUUUCAAUUACUGAUUAGUAAACACAUCAUUAAUAGGUUAAUUCUUUAGAAAUUAGAAUACCACCUCCUAUCCAAGAAUUGAAUUCCUCACAAAUCAAGAAUUCAAUUUCUAAUUUUGUAUGAGAUCCACUUUUAAAUUCUUAGAUAUAAAAUAAACACAUGAAUCCUCCAUAAUUAAAAUACAAUUCCUAAUUCGAACUCGAAUUCUUGAUUAGUAAAGACAUCAUAUAAAUUUUUCUACCAGAAAAGUGUUCAUGAUGUACCUAAAUACAUUCAUAAGAAUUAUUAGGUACUUUCAUGCCACGUGGUAGGUUAAGUUAUUUUUGUUUGUCUCGUUCAAGUGUGAUAAGCUAUUUGUUUGUCCCGUUAGGCAGGCUUCUUAUUGUGUGUAAAGAGCUAUUUAAUGCCACGCCAGCCAAGCAAUAAAUCAAAAUAAAUAUUUGAUGCUCUCUCUUUUGCAUGUGGCACAGAACAAUAGCUGACCACUACAGUCGCAGUCAACUACCUUUAAUAAAAGCUUGUAUAAUUCAAAAGCAAUUCCUCACAAUCAAAAAGCAGUUUUUCCAUGGCACACUGGAAAUAUGUUGAAUGGAUUUUGUCCAUCACCAGCCGCACAUUUGCUGUUCCAGGUUGCAGAGCUUAUGGUUUACAUUAAGUUUUUCCAUGCCCCGCAAGGUUCUGUUGUUUGGCUUUUCAUAGUUUUUUCUCCAGGACAACGCACCAGUUGGAUUUGUCAAAAAAUCUGUCAACAAUUACAGCAUUAUCAAUACCAGCUACCAACCUGCAUUUUAAGACAGCAAUAAGUAAAUGAGCUGAAAAAGUAGGACAUCACUUAAAAGUUAGAUUGUCAGAACAUUAAGAACUGACCCCGUAAAUUUAAUAUCCCUCCAGUUAGGUUUUUGCUUAGUUUUUAGGUAUGCUCUUCUAUCUUUCCUCUUCCUCAUCUCUUUUGCCUAUCUUCUUUCUCUCUCUCAUUUAUCUUCUUCCUCUCUACUUUCUCCCUUUUCUCUCCUCUCCUUAAUUAAAAAAAUUGCAGGAAAAAAAAAAACAAAAAGCUACCAAACAAAAGCUCUUCUUUGGCAGUUUCUUUUUAUUUAUUGCCUUAUUUUGGCAUUCGAAAGAUAUACAAGUCUGAACCUAAUCUCUUAAAGUCUCCUAUCUUUAAAGCAACUGGGCAUCAGUGAGAAGCUAACUUAAAGUAACUACAACCUCCAACUUUUUUGAAUUUCUUAACCACUGCCAUCAAAGGAUUCUGCUCUAACUUAGAGGGUGGCCUACCAUCAUGAUUGAGCCUCGUCUCCCACAGGGAAGGCUGGUCCACUGUGAAAGUUGGCCUCCUUACCUUUGCCAUGAAUGGUUUUGUUACCCAAUUGCAGUGUUAAGUACGACAAUAUGACAGUAGAAUGCGACUUCGAGCCACUGCAUCCCUAAUCAUAUAAGCAGUAGCUCACCUUUCAGGCACAAAGUUAACAAGUUGGGCAACAUGUUAGCCCCACAGAUGAAUAAGUUUAUAAGCCAAGUUUCAUAACUUUGUACGUCUAUUUAAGUACCUAUCACCCCAAUUCUUACCUGUUUUCUACAUUAGAAGCACCUUUAAGAAAUCAAAAUAUAUAUAUAUAUAUAUAUAUAUUUUUUUUUAAAGAGUGAAAAAUUUGGACCAUUUCUUGAUUCAUAGGUGUCAUCACAACAACUCCUACAAUUCCAACACAUCAAGUACUGCUCUAAACGAUCCAGCUGUGAUAAGAAAUCCAUAUGCAUAGAUGCAUCAAAAUUCUGUCCUAAUAGGCACUAGAUGUGUAUAAGAUUAGGUAAAUGAAAAAUUUACACACAAAUGCAAAAUUCUGUCCUAAUAGGCACUAGACAUGUCUUAAUUUGGAAAAGCAUUAACUGAUUGGAACACAGAGCAAAUGGAAAAUAUUACAAAUGGAAACAGAAAGAAAAUGACACGUUACCUUUCAAGCUCGCCUUCACUGAAAACAUGGUAGUAUCUGUUAUAGACUACGGCACCCUUUUUAUCAUCUUUCUUUGCAAGGCCAUUUGCAAGAGCACAAGCAGAAGCACCACUUACUUCAGCACGAUGAUAUGGUAAGUGCCAGGGGACGAAAUAUUCUUGUUGAUUAUUUGCAUUUUUUACAUCAGUAGAAGCCCCUGAAUAACUUUCAGUUUGAGAGGUUAUUUCCUGCAAACUCUGCAUAGAACUCUCGCCAGAAUCUUGCUUACGCUCUCCAAAACCAUUCUCCUCUGUUUCUGGAAUGCUUUCCAAUGUGCAGGAUGAAGGGCUACGAACACGUGGACUACCAGGUCCUAUCCACUCUUCCCCAUACUUUUGGGUAAGUGGAGUCCAUUUGGCAAGUAGUGAUUUAUCUUCUUGUUCUACAGCCCAAACUGUUAUUAGAACUAGGCCACCCUUUUUCACAACUCGGAUCAACUCUUCUAUUGCCUUUUUCCUCCUACCCUGUGUACUUAGAUGAUGUAAUACAGCUAUAGAGAUAGCCGCAUCACCAAAACCAGUUCUAUAUGGCAGAUCUACAGCGUCUGCAACCAACACUUCAUGCCCUCUAUCUGCACAAAUUUUGAUAAGAGGGGCACUUAUAUCACAUCCGAUGAAAAAACAAUCAGGAUUAAAUCCCAAGUACUUCCCAUUCCCACAUCCUGCAUCCAGGACAAGAGAUCCUGAAGGUAAGGAAGAUAAAAAAUUGGCUACUUUUGGCCACUUAGCAAACCGGGUAGAACUGAAAUGGGGCGCGAUAGCAUCAUAAACAUGAUGAACAUACUUCUUUUCAAUUUCAGGAGUGAAUUGCACGUUCAAGGAUGAAUUUCUCUGGCUGUCACUAGCUAAUUCAGAUUGUAGGAUGUGAGAUUCUCCAUUGGAAUCAAGAGUACACGAACUAGACACACCUUUUACCUUGACUUCUCUCAUAGUACUGAAGAUUCCUGAAUAAGAAACACUACCAAUUAUUACAGUGGGAAGAUGGAAGGCCUUACUAGACAGAUAAAAGCUUCUACUUGCUCUUAGAACAUUACAAAACAUCACCUGGAACACUGUAUCUAAUCACAAAUGACCUGAAAAAAAAAAAAAAAAAAACAAUGGCUAAGGUCAUAAUUUGAAACACACAAUUUCAAGAUCCUUACGUAGGCCAAAGAACCAUAACAGUAUAUAUGUAUGUGUAUCCUAUAACGGAAAUCCAAUGAAGAGUAAAAAGGAGAAUUUUUUUUUGGGAAAAGCAGAAAAAAUUGUUUAUAGGAGGCCCAAACUAGUACAUUUUAGCUUUUAUUCAAGCAACCGAACCAAAUUAGCAGGGAGAUGAGCAACACAAAUUUCCCUGGUGUCUAAGUUAUUGACAAGCUGGACGAGGUUCAAAGAUGUUUUGCUUUCCAGAAAACAAGGGCCUAAUUACAGUCUAUCAGGAAGGAACUCCAACCAGUUCUUAAGGGGAAAAAACUAUAACCAGUGUGUCCAGGAAUUAUAUCGAACAGCUCGCUACGGCAGCUUCUCUAUUUUGACAAAUCAUGGCCCCUGAGAAUUACAAUCUGGGAUCCCUAAAUGCAUAAAAAUCCUAAUGUCUAUGCAUUUUGUUGAAUACAGUUUCAAUCUUUUCCUUUCUUUAUUUUCGUGCCACUACUGUCCAUAUUGAUUGAAGAGUGAAAUGUGUAUGAUUGUGGUUGUCCUACUUUCCUAAGCUUCUUGUUUUGGGAGGUGACUUUGAUCAAUUAGCAACUUCAAUCACAAACCCAACUUUUCAUUACCAAAUUCAGUGUCUGCUGUUAUCAUAUGAAUUUAGGUGUUUCAAAAAUUAUGGAGAGUAACAUAAUCUUUUAUUUAUGUUUUGGUUUGGUCAAUGGAGAUUAACAGAGUUUUUCACAAUACAAAUAUCCAGAACAAACAUAUAUACUGAAAGUCAGCUUAACCACAACUUACAUACAUAGAUACAUACAUGAAUACGUAUAUAUAUAUAUAUAUAUAUAUAGAGAGAGAGAGAGAGAGAGAGAGAAGUGCAGUUGACCUGAUCCAGCAGAAAUGACUGCAGUGAGGGUCAAAAGCUGCUUUUUUUAAAAGCGAGGAGCUGAAGAUGUUCGUUAACCAGCGGUUAAUCCAAUCCGAAUGAUAUGGAUUGCUUCCCUUUUGCUUGUCUUGUGUUGAAUUAGGGUUUUUCAGAGAGGGAGAGAGACGAAAGAGGGGCAGUGAGAAAUUGAUAAUUAAAAUAGAUAUGACGUGAACAAGCGUAGGGUAAACAUACUGAGCUCCACCAUACUGACCGUCCAUUUGCCAUGUUUUGACCCGCGGAUCAUGCCACGUCAUUUCAUAAUGAAAUAGAUGAUAAAAUUUGGGUACUGAUUUUCUCACUCCCCUUUUAUCCACUUACACUCCAUUUAAAAAAAAAAUCUAUGUUCUCACUCCUCUUUUGUUCACUUACACUCCCUUUUAUUUUAUAAUAAAAAAUAUUAAAAAAACAAAAGGGAGUGUAUGUGGAUAAAAUGGGAGUGAGAAAAUCACUACCCUAAAAUUUUAGGAUCUUAGAAUUUAUAAAUCUUUUUUUUUUCCUGUAAGUUUUAAAUCUUUUAAGUUUUUAGAAUAGCAUAAGGAAAGUGAAUAUGAAGUAUCCUAAGUUGUAGUUCUGAUCUCUUGAAUUACAGGGUCCAAGAGAUUUGUGAUCACUUACCGUUGGAUGUAAAUUUAACGGUUCACUCACUCUUGCAUUCCUUUAAAUUUUUUUUUUAAAACAAUUGGAUUAAUAUCCAAUGAUGAAUGACCACAAUCUCUUGGACUCCUGUGGUCCAAGAGAUCGGGACUGUCUUAAGUUGUGAGAAAUUGUUGAGUACAACGGUGAUAAUGUCGAGUAGUGUGACUAAUUUACGUAUUAUAAUAUAAGCGAAUGACAUAAUUGAUUUUUCAUUAAACUAUAGAAUAUACCCCAUAAGCAAAUUGGUAACACCACCUUAACUUGUUUCGUUAAUUCUAUCGAAAUGCUUUUAAUUAGUUGCUGCCAAAUUUGCUUCAACAACUUUCCUUUUCGUGCUUAUGUGAGUGCCCCAAAUUCCAAUAAUUCAUGAAUGGCUGACCUUUCUAAGAAAUUUGAUAGCAAUUCACAGAGGUCUCAAAUUUCUUGCAGCAUAUUCCUGGUAAAUGAAACCCAUCUACACAGCUGGAGACAUUGUGUUUACUUUGAGGGUCCAACUUUAAUUGUAUGGUUUUUUUUUUUCUGUCUAUGGUGCUGUAGGUGUCAAAGGAAAGUCCCUCCACUAUCUGCUGAUGCUGAUUGAGCCUUCGGAGUUUGGUGAAGAUGAGAACUUUCCAAGUCCAGAUGGUGUGGAAUUCCACACCAGAAGAUUCAAAUUCAUUCAAAUUUCUCUCAACUUUACCUGCAUUGCAGGACUACUUGCUAUGAAAUUUACUCGUCGAGUCAAGGUACUAUUUUCUUGUAAAACAAUCUUACCUAAAGACUAUGAAGAGGCUCCACAUAUUAAAGAUGCUUCUCAAGUGUGUACGUUUCCUUUACUUCUCGAGGCUAUGCUAAAUGCUUUAGUUUGAGCAAAGUACUAGUCAUUUAUUAUCAUUAUCGAAAAUAAUGUUCAAGCCAAAUGUUCCACGACUCCUCCAAAUUACUGACAGGUUCUGUAGCAGCCAAGUCAGUCCCCACAACAUCGUAAGUAUAAAUUUUUUUGUGUAACGUAAAUGGCUUCUGGUUUUGAUAUAUAUCAAGGUACUGUACAAGCUAGAUUCCAACUAACAUGUGGCCCCAUGACUUUUCUUUGUGUUUGGAGCUUUUUGUAGACAUUAUAUUGUAGGGUUAAUUACUGUAGACGUCUUUAAAUUUGGUUUUUAUUUGCAAUUUGGUCCGUUAAUUUUUUUUUCCAGCAAUUACAUCCGUUAACUAGAUAAAUAGUUCUAAUUGGGUCAUGUCGUCCAAUUUUGUCAAUUUAUCUGUCAAAAUUAGAGGUAAAAGCGUUCUUUCAAUUAACAUAGAUGAACUGCUCAUUCUUCUAGAAUUAUUAACUGUGCUGGAGAAAAUGUAAAUUUAAAACACAAAAAAUAAUAACAAGAACAAACAUAUCUUAAAGAAUAAAAUAACAAAAAAUUCAAAAAAAAUAAAACCUAGAACAAGAACAGUCGCACCAAACCAUCUUCCCCAACCUCCCUUCCCCAUACCCACAGAUAUUGCGACUCCUCGUCCUCCGUCGUUGACAACGACGCUGAUUGCGUCAUAACGUCGUCGUUUCAGAGUCUCUCCUUUGCCGUUGGACCAUAUCCACCAUUGCCAUUGGCAGCCAUGAAAGGCAAGCAAAUAUUCUAUUAACUUGGACUUUGAGAAGAAGACCCAUGUGAAUUGCUUUAUUUCUCAAAAAAAAAAAAAAACACAUAUGAAUCCAAGCCAUUAACCUUCAGUGCAAAGUUGUCAGGCUUCUCUCUCUUUCCCCUAAAAUUGAUCAAGACAGCCCACCCUAAAACCCAGCUGGAUUUGGGGGUGGGUUGGGGUCGUAAGAGAAAAUAGCCACAAAAUAGCAAUUACUGUAUCUCCAGAUUGGUAGAUUUUGGAGAGAACAGGGUGGUCCAUCGUGUUUGUAAUUUGUGAAGUGUGUUUAAUUGAUAUUAAACAUUUGGGAUUUGCUGGAGUUUUAAUAUGAAAGCUUCAUGUUCAUUGAACCCUAAACCCUAAACGCUGGAUUAUCUAGUGAAGGAGACUCUUGGAAUUGAAAGGACGCUUUUACCCUGAUUUUGACAGAUAAAUUGACAGAAUUGGAUGACAUGACCAAAUCGGAACUAUUUAUCGAGUUAACGGAUGUAAUUGCUGAAAAAAAAAGUUCACGAACCCAAUUGCAAAUGAGGGCCAAAUUCAGGGACGUCUACAUUAAUUAACCCUAUAUUGUAAUUCCAUACCAAUCGAUUUGGAAAAAAUGGUACGUUCAGGAAAACUUAUGUACAAGUUCAUUGUAUCGAGACAUCCAAAGACAUCAUUGUCCAAGAAGCUGUAUCGAAAAUAAUGCAAACAAUCAUGAUCCUGAUGGCUGUCACGAGUAGCUUCAUUUUACGUUUGUUUGCAUCUGGGAACUAGCUUAGAAAUGAUCUGAGGUGCUGAAGGCUUUUUAAGGGCUAUGUGGCAUGUUUAUUGUGUGUGGAAACUCACCCUCGAGCUCGACUAUAUAUAUUGUUGUUAAUGCAGUUCGUAGUACCAUACUCGAAUAUACCACUGUUCCUCUGUGUUGAUAUUCAUAUCGCUACAACAAAUGAUGCAUUAUCUUCAACUGUCAUCACGUAUUUGCAUGCCUUCUUGCAUUUCAUCACAAUCUAAAACCAUCUGGACCAGGUUAUACAUUGUUAAUAGAUGCAUAAAUUGUUCACUGAUGUUUUCUUUUGUUUCUUUGGGGCCAUGUUUUAUGUAAUGAACUCAUUUAGUUGCAUUAUUGUUUUAUGGAUUAUUUACAGUUCAACGUCUGGAAAUGAGAUGAGAGUUGGUAAGUUAUUACAAUCUCAAAACUUUACUCAUAAUUUCUGCAACUUGGAAGAUGUUGGUGUACUAAUAUGUUCAUGUUAUCGACAUCGUUAUGGAAAAUUGUUUUCAUGUGUCACAAAUGACUAAGCAACUAAUAAGCAAUGCAAUGCAAUCACAGGUCACUGCACAAAAGUCUCACGCAGUGUCAAUAUGGAGAACCUGCAAAAUGAAUAUCUCUUUCCGGAGGUCAGCAGCUUCUGAUAUCUUGAUUAUGAACUUUGGCCCUCCUAUCACUUUAUAUCGUGCAGUUUGUCUCAAACUAAUUGUCUGGAUUGGUGUUCCAUAAACCCCAAUUGUUUUAAGAUUUCUUGUUUUGGAAUGGGAAUUUACAGCAUCCUCAUGAGUAGGAUCAAACCUUAUUCCACCUGGUUGGAACUUGGAACUCUUGUUACUUGAGAUAACAAAAUUAUCUUUUGGUUGUGUGAUAUAACCAGUUGAGUGCUAAUUUUUCUACAUACCUUAUGGCCGCUUAUCCAGAUAUUCAUGCGCGAGUUUGUGCAUACUCAGAAGUACCCACAUGCAAGAUUAAUAAGACUUGGUGUUGGUAAUACUACAGAACCUAUACCAGACAUAAUCACAUCUUCUAUGGCUGAGGUAAUUUUGUGGAUCUCAGAUUGUUGUACGUAAUUUUUUCAUCUGAAUACAAUUUGAAUCUAAAACCUUUUCAAACAGCACCAUGCCUUACCACUUGAGCGAAUACCUGAAAACACAAUUACAAAUAAUAGUAUGCUGGUCCUGUUUGAUAUUACUUUCCAGUUGAACUGUUCUUUUAUUUUUAUCAUUAGUUUCCAUUUCCACUAUAAUCCAAUAUUUGGGAAAAUAGUGACGAGUGCAUGUCUUCAUCGUAUACGUCUUCUCUUUAUAACCUACUUGUAGAUGUAGAGAUAUAGAACUCUUUGGUGUAUGCAAGCCUCUUUGGCAGCGGAUCUUCACUAGCUUUUCUUCACCCAUUAGGACUGUUUCGUUUAAUUUCUUUUACUUUUUUGCUUUCUGUUUAUUUCUUUGUUGGAGUUGAAAGAAGCAGAGAGAGAGAACAAAAACUUGGAAUUUUCUUUUCUUGACGACUAAGUUGUACUGAUCUAUUUUUUUUCAUUUGGUUUCUUGUCGACGAUGAAUAUUAAGCUCGUGUUUCUGUGCCUACUUUGCAGCAUGCACAUGCUCUAUCAACAGUUCAAGGUUACAGAGGGUAUGGAGCUGAGCAAGGCCACAUGGUACGAUGGAAUCUUUGGUGUUCAUUCUGAUUUUUAUUCUUUUUAUUCUUUCUUCUCCCUUAACCACAAUUCCCCACCUUAUUUUCUGCGUCGCCUGGGUGCCGCCGCCCUCAUUCACGACAUUGAUUUUGAAUCUGGACUUGCACACCCCUUUAAGUCAUGUCAAUGGUUGAUGAAGUCAAAUUGUGAACCACAUGUCUAUACGUGUCUUGGAUGAUACUGUUGUCAGUCUCACUCCAAUUACAUGGGUGCCGCCCUCAUUCAAGACAUUGAUUUUGAAUCUGGACUUACUCACCCUUUAAGUUAGGGCUCGUCAAUGGGCCGGGCCGGGCUAGCUCGGCACAAAUUUAAUGGGUUUGGGCCGGGUCGAGUUGGGCUUUAAAGAGGAGAGAGAAAAUACCGGGCCGAGUCAGAUUUUUUUAGAAAAUUCAAAGCCCAAGCCCAACCCAUGGGCUGGGCCAGGCCGAAACCAGCCUACUUCAUUCGAAAAAAAUCAUAAACUUAAUCAUAAGGGCAUUUUAGUCCAAAUUUGAGAUAAAUCUCACUUAAUUCCAAUAUUUUCAUAUUAAACCAAAUUCAUAAUAAAGUCACACAACUUAAUAAGAUUUUCCACAAAAAUAAUAAUAUGAAGUAUUAUUUUUGAGGUUAUUACAUAAUUAGACCGUAAUACGUUUUAAGAAAUAAUUUUAAAAAAUAAUAAGUAUCAAAAAGAUAUUUUUUUUAAAGGAUGUUAUGAAUAAAUAUGCAAAUGUUUGGUGAUGUGUUCAAGAAAAGCAUGAUCAUAUUUGGUGGUACGAUUAUGUUUCGUGAUAUGAUUAUAUUUGGUGAUAUGAUAUGUUGUUCAUCUUAUUUAUAUAUAUAAUUGUUGUAUUAAUAAUUGACAUAAAUUAAUGUGCUAAUCAUCCAAUUAUAAACUAUGAAUGAGUAAAGAAAAGUAAAUGAAAUGAAACAAAUUAUACAUGUGAUUUAAGUGAUAUAAUCAUAAUCCUAAACUCUUAUUUAUACAUAAUUAUAUAUGUAUGCGGGCCUAACGGGCAGGGCUUUUGUGGGCGGGCAGGGCCGGACUUUCUUGGGCUUAAUCGGUUCGAGCCGAGCUUCAGACAACCAAGCCCAAGCCUAGCCCAGCCCAAGGCAAGCCAGGCCAUCUCGAAGCCCAUAACGGGCCAGAUCGAACUUUUUUCGAAUGGGCCGGGCGGGCCUCCAUCGACCCAUGAGCCUGCGGGCCAAAUGAUGAGGCCUACUUAAAAGUAGCAUGUCACUGGUUGAUGAAGUCAAAUUGUGAACCACAUAUGUCUAUUUGGACUUCCAUAUAUAGUGUGGCCCUCAAAAAAUUUGUUAGAGCGUUUGUUUUAUUUUUUAUUUUUAUAUUAGGCGAGGCGUACUUGUGGAUGUUUGCCUUUUGGUAUCCUAUUUAAAUAGGGAACUCAAAAACUUUGAUUUUUUAAAAAAACAAUGAGUUCUUAAAUCUAUUUUUAAGAUUUAAAAACUUGUUUGGUAUGCAACUUGGAAACUGUCUUCAAAUCUUAAAAUUUUGAGAACUUGUGGGUUGUUGGAAAAAGACUGAAAAACAGAUAUUUUUUGUUUUUAAUAAUUGAGGUGUUUUAUAGUUGUUCUUGAGUUUGAGUUUUUAAAAACAGGUUUUCUUUGUUUUAGACUCAAUUUCUGUUUUUGAGCUUAAAAAGUUAGAUUCAAGUUAAAUAUCAAACAUGCCCUUGGUUUCCUCUUGGGAAAAUAACAUCUCUAAUUGAGCUGGUAGAGUGCCUUGCUGCGAUGGAUACCUCUUCACUCUAAGAAAGUCAUCAACAUACAAUCUGGAAGCAACUAUUCUGCUUGUAGGAAAGCUUAAUGGGUGUGUAAUGGUCACACUUUGGUCUCUGCUUAUUAUUUCAGAGAAUCAUUUUGGGAAGGAUACUAUAAAUUAGGAUCAACUAUACCUUACAACUCCCGUAGUUUGAGUAAAAUUUCAUGUUGGUCAUGAUGUUUCUGCAGUUGCCAUUCUUCUCCAAGAUUAUUAUUAUUUUGUCCAUCUACCUAUUUUUAUUUAACAGAGGUUAUCAAAUUUUGGUGCAGGAAUUAAGAAGGGCAAUUGCAGAAAAAUUCUACAACAAUAUGGGCAUAGAAGGCGACGAGGUUUUUGUAUCAGAUGGUGCACAGUGCGACAUUUCUCGCCUUCAGGUACGAAAACUUCGUUUAUGCAGUAAAGCUUUUCAUAAUUGGAUAAGAGUAGAACAAGAUAAAGAUCUGUUACCAUUUAGGUUGCUUUUAAGAUGAAAAGCGUGUUAUUAAUUCUGACUUUUCCCCCAAGCAGAUGCUUCUGGGAUCCAACGUGACAGUAGCUGUGCAAGACCCUUCGUUUCCGGUAAAUAUAAAUCAAAUCAAAUAUAUCUUGGAAUACUAAAUUAAAGCUACAUGCAUCCAUUAUUUUCCCAUUGAAUUUUUUUGCUAGGAACCUUAUUGAUUUACUAUGUUUUGGAACAGGCAUAUAUAGAUUCUACUGUCAUUGCUGGUCGCGCUGGCAGGUUUCAAGAGGAAACUGGGAAGUAUAAGAACAUUGUGUACCUGAACUGCAGCCCUCAGAAUAAUUUUUUUCCUGAUCUAUCAACUGCUUCAAGGGCGGAUAUCAUAUUUUUCUGCUCUCCGAACAAUCCAACUGGCAGUGCUGCAUCACAGCAGCAACUAAAGCAACUGGUGGAGUUUGCAAAAGCAAACGGAUCAAUAAUUGUUUAUGACUCCUCCUAUGCUGCUUAUAUAUCUGAUGACAGCCCGAGAUCGAUUUAUGAAAUUCCUGGGGCCAGAGAGGUUUCUCACUAGUUCCCACCACCAUAUAUCAUUUUGUGUUUAACAAUACAAAACCUUCUUGUUAAACUUGACAUACAAAGGGAUUCUCACUGGAAGUUGUUUUGGCCAAUUUUGUGUGCAGGUUGCAAUUGAAGUUUCAUCCUUCUCCAAAUUUGCUGGGUUCACAGGGGUCCGCCUCGGAUGGACAGUUGUCCCUGAUGAGUUGUUGUAUGCAAACGGAUUUCCUGUCAUAAAGGACUAUAACCGCAUAGUGUGCACCUGCUUCAAUGGUGCAUCAAAUAUUGCCCAGGCUGGAGGGCUGGCAUGCCUUUCUGCAGAAGGUUACCAGGUUAUAAUUUACACCCCAUUUCUUUUCCAAGCAUGCAUUUCUAGUAAGUUAAAAUCCAAUGCAGUUUCAAAUUUUUACUGUUUGUAAGUUGUGCUUUUUAUAUUUUCAGGCCAUAACCACAGUGGUUGACUACUACAAAGAAAAUGCAAAAAUAAUUGUGGACACAUUCAGAUCACUUGGGUUGAAGGUGUAUGGUGGCAAAAAUGCACCUUAUAUAUGGGUACAUUUUCCAGGGUUGAGUUCUUGGGAUGUAUUCAAUGAAAUUCUUGAAAAGACAGACAUAGUGACCAUACCAGGAAAGGGAUUUGGUCCUGGAGGUGAAGAGUACAUCAGAGUUGGUGCUUUUGCUCACAGGGAAAGUAUAUUGGAAGCUUCAAAAAGGCUAAAAACUCUUUUUUAACUUGAAUUAUUUCAUAAAUAUUUGAACCCAGUCGACAGGUACUUAUAGCAAGAAUGACCAUCUUCCUGGAGAGCUUUAUUGGUUCAUGAGAUGAAUUAGGAUUGGACAAUUAUUUGGUGCUGAUAAGGAAAAAUCUAAAUUGAACUGUAUUGCAUUGUUCAUAAGAUUUGUUUCUUCUCAGCCCAUUAUUGGUUGUGACUUGAAUAAAUUGUAUUUGUCCUCAUUUCAACAUGGCAUCUUGAACCUUCUGGCCUUCUUUCUUUUUAUAGUUUCUUGCACUCUCCAGAUGAUGAUUGAAUUAUUUACAAAAGUUACAAUUUAUAUUUGUUAAAAUUUGUACUUUGACCAGCUGACAUGAUUUCAUGUUACAAACACGAACAGAAAAAUUAAGUGGUUAGUUGGUUGCAAUGAAAAUAGGGUUUUUAGGUUCAAUGGUCUCUGAAUUUUCACAUGAUUCGCAUUUUGAUUCCUCAAUUUUCAAAAUCGUUCCGAUGGUCCUUCAACUUUAGUUUUAUCAGGACAAAUGGUCAUGCCAUCAUUUUUGUUAACUUUUUUAUGUUAAAUUCAGGGACAAAAUGUUUUUUUUUUUUUUUUGUAUUAUUUGUAAUGUCCACCAUAUGAAUAUUCCAACAAAGUUAUGGACAACCUCCACCAAACAUCAAGCCAAUUAACCCACCAUCUCGACAACAACUGAUGGUGCUCCCCCAACCCACACCAUACCCACCCUCCCUGCGAUGACGAGGAUAGGAAGAAAGUUUUUCAGUUUUAUUUUUUGGGUGAAAGGAAUAUUCACACGGUGGAAAUUAAAAAUAAUACAAAUAUACCAUUUUACCCUCACAUUUAACAAAAUUGACGGCAUGACCAUUUGUUCUAACAAAAGUGAAGUUAAAGGACCACGAGAAUGAUUUUGGAAACUGAAGGGCCAAAAUGUGAAUCAGGUCAAAGUUUAGGGACCAUUAGACCUAAAAACCCAUGAAAAUAUUAAGAAAUGAAAUCAUUCAUUAAAGAGUUAUUUAUAUAAACACAUCCAUGAGGUUUUAGUGUUUUCACAAACCCCCACAAGGUUUCUAAAAUUACAUGAACACCCCCUUUGAGAUUUUAAUUUGUUUUAACAAAACCCACUUUCAUUGAUUCUUCAUCCAAAAUUUGAUGAUUUCUUACAUAAAAACUUUUGUAAAUAACAAAUGAACCUCAAUGAAUGUAUAAAAACUUGUGAGAUUUCAAUUAGCCAACUCAUUUUAUCUUUCUUGAUACUAAAAUUUAUUAUUAUUAAAGUUCUUAAUUGUAAAUUGCCAACAACAAAAAAAAGACCAAAUUUUUUUUUUAAUGGAAAAAACAGAAACCUUACAAACGGAAGCUACGAGAGCAUGCAGGCCCAACUAAAUCAAAAUAAAACAGAGCAGAGCAACCUAAAGGAAUCCCUCGCUCCCAAAGGUGGGAAGGGUUCAGAGAAUGACCUAAAUUAGCUAAAGCGUCGGCAGUGAAGUUAGCUUUCCGGAAGAUAUGCUGGAAGGAAAUCUCUUCGCAGUAAGAACUUAACAGCCUUAUAUCUUGUACUAUGAGAUGAAUACUCCAAGGAACUAAAACUUUGUUGUUAAUACAGUCAAUAAUGGGUUUGGAAUCUCCUUCAGCUAAAACUUUGCGCCAACCAUUGUGGAUUGCAUGGGCGAGACCAUCACGAAGCUCCAAACAUUCCGUAACAUUUAUCGAAAUGUGACCCGAAUUCUUAGCUCCGGCAAGCCAAACAUUACCAUUCCAGUCCCGAAUAACGAAACCAAUGGCAGCUAGGUUACCACACAUCGAGCCAUCAAAGUUCAAUUUAAUCCAAUCGAGGGGUGGUGGUUUCCAUUUAAUGGCAAGCUCACCUUUGGACUUCUGAGAAUGAGUGAAAUUGAUUUUCCAAUAGACUAGUCCAAUUUGACCUGCAGCAUUAAGGAUUGUAACCGGAUGAGGGCCAAUGUCUUUAAACACACAAUUGUUCCGAGCCUCCCAAAUUUACAAACAGAGAAGAAGGGCUUUGGAAAGAAUAUUUGGGCCAUCCUUAUCCUUCGUGUGAGGGAGAGCAGCUAGCCAUUCUAUACCAUCAAAAUUUUGCUGGGUAGGCGUAGGGAUUAUUGAGGUACACCUCCAUAUGUUGACUGUGAACUGACAUUCAAAUAAUAAGGGGCUAACGACAAAAGACAUCUUGCAUGUUUGGGGUGGUUUUCAAUAUGGACCACAAGAUAUCAAUUUUAUCAAUUUACACUCUUAUGUUUGCAACAUUGUCUAAUUUCAUCCUUCCGUUAAGUUGACCAUGUGGUCAAUUGUUAAAUGCUGACAUGUCUACUGUAGGACCCACCUACUAACCAACCAAUUCUUAAAUUUUUUUUAUAUAAAAUGAUAAAAACAUAUAAUUAAACAAAAACUAAAUAUUUAAAAAAAAUUAAAAAAAAAAACCAGACGCACAGCGGCACUCCGUCUCUUUCUCCCCGAUCCCACCUUCUCGAGUUCUCCGAUUCUCUCCAACCCCCUCCCCGCCGCCUGUCCUCACUGAAACCAAGUCCAUCACUCCUCUCCUUCCGUUCCGCCAUCCCUCUUCCUCAUCCCCACCCCACCUCAAGGGAUUGAUAGUUUCUGUGCAUGGAUGAAAUGGAUAUCGAACGUCUUGGGCAAAGAGUGAGAUGUGUAUUGUGUUUUGAUGAAGAGGAUGGCCAUGGAUGCCAUUGAAAAUUUGAACUAAGGCUUGUUCUUUUUUAUCUCUGGCUGUGCUCAAAGUUCAAAUAAUCAUAUUUUUUAUUUUUUAUUUUGUAAAACAAAGUAGCAGAUUUGAUUUAGUGCUGGAAAUCUAGGCGUCAUCCAUCAAGUUGACAAAGCAGUGGCGUUGAUUUGAGAGAUGGAGUGGAUGCAUCUUUUGCCAUAGAUGAGAGUUGCCUUAUCAUCUUCCAGAUUUCAAAUUUGUUCAUUAAUCUCAGCCACUUCUUAAUCUCUUGACUAGGAGGGAAAAGAUCGAAUCUUUGUGAAAUUCAAAGCCUUAGGAUUGUCCCCUAUAUCAAAAUUGAAAGCCCUAGGAUUAUCCUCUCUCUGUCUCUGCAACUUUUCAAAAAUUUCACAAAACCAAAAUCACAUAAAAAUCAAAACCGUAACAUUCCUGCAACCUGUUCGAAUCCAAAAGUUCAGAGACGGCAGACGAGCAGUAGAUGGGGGAGUUAUGCUUCGGAGAGGAGGUGCAGGUGGCUGGACGUGUCGAAGGGUGAGGGUGGAUGGGGUUAGAGAGCUGGGAGGAGGAGGGACGAAGAGAAGGAGAUUAUUAUUAUUUUUAUGUUAGUUUAUUAUAUUAUAUAAUUUUUUGAAAGGAUUUAUAGGUUCCACAAUGAACACGUCAUCAGUUAACGUCUGACCAAACAGUCAACUUAGCGGAAAGCUGGUCAGAUUUGAAAAUUCUGUGGUGUAAAUUGAUGAAAUUGAAAUUCAGAGGUCCAUAUUGAGAAUGACCUCAAAUCUUCAGGGAGUCUUUUGACAUUAGCACAAGAAUAAAUAGUUAAUACUCUACCAAAAAAAAAAAAAAAAAUCAAUUGUCAGGGGCGAGAGUAUAUACCUCUUUGAUAUAUAGGAAGAGCUAAAACAAAGCUCCAAUUGUAACAUCCCGACCCAAAACAUAAUCUUCCAUUAAUUUAAUUUAUUUUAAUAAAAUUUGAAUUUCCAAUUUUGCCUUCGGGGUAGGGGUAAUUUGAUCAUUUUUUAACCCGAACAAAUUUUGGGGCAGUGAGUGGUAUUUUUACGUAGAUAGUACCAAAAUGAGUCCGUAGACACGUAGUGGACUCGAAUCGGAGUUGUAACGAAAAAGAUAUGAUCAAAUGAAGUUCAGUGGCAUAAUCGUAAUUUUUACGAAGUUGGUUUUAAAUAUCUGAAAACCCUUCUCUCUCUCUCUCUCUCCUGCGAACCAGAACCCCCCCUCCCUUCUUUGGCUUGCGACGGCAGCAACUUCCAGCCGUCGCCACCGCCACCACACACCGCCAUUUGGGGCGGCACCUGUCCCGUUAGAACCGCCUCACUUCCCUCUUCGAUUCCAGACCGGUCCCAGCCUCUAUCCGCAGUCGUGGUCGCCGGAAACAGCCCCGAAACAGACCGGAUUUUGACAGUUUUAAAAGAUUUUCUCAAGCUCGUUUUGGGUGAUUUCGGCCACCAUUUCCGACGAUCCAGGUAUGAUUUUUCAACCUCUCGACGUGUUCUAGCUGCUGGUUUUGUUAGUUUUGAGAAAUUUCUGCGUUUAGCAAAUCAAAUAAGCGAUGGAAGUUUGGCCGUUUUUCGGCCUCCGAUUCCGGCCACUUCCGUCGACUUUUUGGGAUAGGUCCAAGAACAAAAGUUGCUCUACUCAAUGUGCUGAUCCUAUAGUGUAAGUUUUGGCUGGCAGUUUGGAGUUUUUCCGAUUGCUGGAAUUUGAUUUGGACACCCACCGCUGUCGGCGCGUGGGGCGGCGCGUGGGGGCACGUGGUGGCCUGUCAUUUUGUCCUAAAAUAAUCCUCAUGUUGUCCCGAGCACGACGGUAUACUCGGAUUUCAAUUUGGUUAUCGUUUGGUCGUCGAUCGGAUAUUGCAUUUUAGGUGUUAUCGGAGUUGGACAGCUUCGUACCGUUGGAUCGAGUCCAAUUCAAUAUAUGUUGUUCUAGGCUUUCCUAGGAUCGUGUAGGAUUUCGUGGAUCGUGAAUCGGAGCCCGGAUGUUCCGAUUCAAUAACUUAAAGUUUGCAUUGAAUGAUAACCGUCUGAUCGGGCGAUCGCGAGUGAUCCAACCGUCCGAUUCAGACCAAACUUGCAAGACAAGUAUUCUAAACCUUGUGGAACUCAUAGGAACUUCCAUAUUGUAAAAUGGAGGUCGUGGGUCCUGCGAGCCAGGUUGACUAAGAUUGGGUAGUUUGACCCAUCGGUUGACCGUGAGUCUUCUAAGGUAGUUUCACCCUUCGAGGAGUACUAGAGCGACCUUAACUGUUAUUUGAGUUAUGUUGACUAUGUUAGAAUUUUUAGAUUUGUUUUAUAUUAUCUAGUAGGAAAUGAUCGAACUUGGGUCUGUACUUAGCACGCUCGGAUUUCACAAAACCCUAGUAAUAAAAUGGGGUUAAAAUCCUACAAAUUCUUAAUUAAAAUUUCCCAAAAAAAAUUCAAAUCUUACAUGUUGUUCAAGUUCUCUGUCAAAAUCAAAGUGUGUCAAAUUCCCAAAGUGACCAUUAUUGAUGACCUUUCUCAGACUUGAUUAGCUAGCUAUGACGAAAGUGUCAUCCGUCUUCCAUGUCAUGGCUCCCAAAUUGCCAUUAGAGACAACAGCAUAGAGACUUUGGACUAAGUUAGUGACACGGCUGGAUGCUCUGCGAGUCUCGGCUUUACGUGCUUCGCGUAAUCAUAGAUUGUUCAACUUGUCAGACAUGUCAAUGAGAUUAGGCAUCUUAGGAUCAUGUUAUCAAUAGCAUCGUUGAAUGCACGUUGUAGCGUUUCCACUGCUGCGUCAAAAACAACUUUCCCUUAAACAAAAUGCUUUUUAUAGUCAGCCAUCAGCUUUACAGAUUCAGGAACCAGCUUUAUACGGCCGCCAAUAGACAGUUUUUCAGCGAGAGCAACCCUUGCAUCGUUCGUAGAUGUAGUUUCAACAACCGGAUGAGCAAAUAUGGAGUACAACUUUGCAUUGUGGACCGCCUGUUUUUUAGUGGUAUCAAGCAGCCUUGCGGUAGCAGCCCGAUUUUUAGCGGCUGCUAUAACGGCAUCGAUUUCAACGGCGACUGUAGAGCCCUGUUCGUAUAGAGCUGGUUCCUGAAUCUAUAAAGCUGAUGGUUGAGUAUAAAAAGCAUUUUGUUGAAGUGGAAGUUGUUUUUGACGCAGCAGUGGAAACGCUACAAUGCGCAUUCAAUGAUGUUAUUGAUAACAUGAUCCCCAGGAUGCCUAAUCUCGUUGACAUGUCUGGCAAGUUGAACGAUCUACGAUUACGCGAAGCACGUAAAGCCGAGACUCGCAGAGCAUCCAGCCGUGUCACUAGCUUAGUCCAAAGUCUCUAUGCUGUUGUCUCUAAUGGCAAUUUGGGAGCCAUGACAUGGAAGACGGAUGACACUUUCGUCAUAGCUAGCUAAUCAAUUCUGAGAAAGGUCAUCAGUAAUGGUCACUUUGGGAAUUUGACACACUUUGAUUUUGACAGAGAACUUGAACAACAUGUAUUUGAAUUUUUUUUGGGAAAUUUUAAUUAAGAAUUUGUAGGAUUUUAACCCCAUUUUAUUACUAGGGUUUUGUGAAAUCCGAAUGUGCUGAGUACAGACCCAAGUUCGAUCAUUUCCGACGUGAUCGUCCAGAUUUGUUGGCCAACAUUAUUUGAGAAUCAAAGAUAGAGGCUCUGCAAGGAAAGGUGUUUGAUAUUGAGAGUAAAAUAACUCAAAUUGAUGGUCGGAUUGAUGAAUUUUCAGACAAAUUGGAUGGUAUGUUAAGGAGCUUCCAUGAUAAGUAUGUAUCUUAAACGUAGUGCUCUUAGCUAUGAUAAUGGGUUUUUAAAAAAAUAUGUAUUUGGCAUAAUAAAGAGCCUAGAGUUAAAAGGAACUUAAUACUUGUGCUUGGUUGUUAAUCAGUCUUGGAGUCAGCCAGUUAGGUAGGCUUACUGUUAUAUGAUUAGCUGUAAAGCUAAUUAUAAAUACUGAAGCUUAGUCUCCUAAGAUUCAUUAAGAAGUUAGAAAUCCAACUGAAAUUUGGAAAAAUUAGAAAACAGGUUAGGAACUAAUUUCAGGAAUCAUAUCCUUCUCCAAAAUUGGCAGAUGAUGAAUAUUACAAAUUCCUUUAUAGCUGCCCAAAUGUCUAGGAGAGCUUUUGAACAUACUGUGCCACAUGAAAGCUCUUGAAUACAGCCCAGAAGUCGCUAAGGGUGAGUUUCAUAUAAUUUUUCCUGUGCGUUUGGUAUAAUAAAGAGCCCUAGAGUGAAAAGGAACUUAAUGCUUGUGCUUGGUUGUUAAUCAGUCUUGGAGUCAGCGAGCUAGGUAGGUUUACUGUUAUAUGAUUAGCUGUUAUAUAAAUACUGAAGCUUGGUCUUGUAAAAUUCAUUAAGAAGAGAAAUCUAGGAAAUAUAAAGAGCACUUUCCUCUUUUGCUUCUGUGCUUUUUCAAUAGCUUCUCACCUAAUCCAAAUAAAUUUGGAAACUAAAAAUCUGGAAAAAUAGAAAUCCUACUGAAAUCUGGACAAAUUAGAAAUUGAUUCCUUUUUAGCGGGCCAAAUGUCUAAGAGAGCUUUUGAACAUACUGUUUCACAUGAAAGCUCUUGAAUACGGCCGAGAAGUCGCUAAGGAUGAGUUUCAUAUAAUUUUUCCUGUGUGUUAGAAUUGCUACUUCUCUCUGUCUCUCUUUUCCUUUUUGUUAUUUCUUUCUAUAUUUGAAUUCUUUUGUUUUGAAAUUGAUUCCUCGUCAAUCUCAGCACAAUACGUGGUUAGGCUACCCAGAGUUCAUUUCUCAACUGAUGGCAUUGCUUGAUGUUCGAGUGUCAUUUUAGUUGUUUGCCAUGGUCAGCUUCUGACAUAAAUAUGCGUAAUUCAUGUAGAAUUGAGACAAGUAUGAUAUGGUGACUUUUGUGGGGGCCAAGUACUCUGGUUUUGAUAGGUAUUUGUUAUGUUCCAUGCAAGUUUGGUUGUGGUUCAACAAAAUAAAAUCUCAACACAAUAUCUAAAUAAAGGCAUAAGCAUCAUCGUUACAGAUUCUCAAGUUUUUUUUUUAUUAUUCUUUUUUAAUGAAAUGGAUAUGAUAACAAGGAUGAAACUUGCCCAUGAAUUAUCUCUUCCAAUUUCUAGUUGGAGUGAAGAUCCUGCCCAUGAAUUCAUUGUCAUGUUUUGUGUUGUAGUAUAAGAAAUACAGAAUCUUAUAAAUAAAAGCCAGAUGGGUUAUUGGAUUCUUUUUCUAUUGUUUGUGGGUCUAUUAGAUUUUUAUCUAUUAUCGAGGGUUGUUUUGUUUUGUGCUUGUGAGAUUAUAGAUUCCUGCUUAUGAAAAUCUAUAUAAAACUCUAUGAAAGUAUGUCAUUAAAAAUCUGUGAAGUUUAUGAAAGUCGCUCACUUAAAAAGGUCUACAAAAGGUUUUAUAUAGAUUGAAUACACCCCUCAAUAACUCAAAGUCUCCUCUAAUGAAUUACGAAGGGGUUACAACAAUAUAACCCUAAAUUGAAAGGAAAUUAAUACUUAUUUUAGGAAAUAAAUCCUAAUCCAAAUAAAUUAGGAAACUAGAAAUUCUACUGAAAUCUGGAAAACUUAGGGCCCAUUAGUAAAAGCAUUCAGUAUACAUUUGUCGUUCGACGCAGAUGCAAAAUAUCCAUAUCCUACUUAGUAAAAGCAUUCAGUAUGCAAACAAUUAAAAGGACAACUCGGCUAUUAUGUUCAAUUGGAAGUUGCCUUCACUAUACUAUGCAUAUGUCGUCUAGGCUGCUGCUACCUGAGAUAAAACAAACAAAAAGCAAUAUUAAAAUUAAAAUAAACCAAUUACAUGCAAAUGAAAGUAUGAUGAGGACAUCUUUGUCAAACUCAUUAGGGCAUACAAACGAAAGAGAUGGAAGAGGAAAUCAUUAAUUCGGUCUUCCAAUCCUGUAAUUUUGGAGCAUUAGAUGAUUCAUGCAAUUAGUUCCUACCUUGUUUUCUAAGGGCCCGUAUGAUAACCAUUUCAGUUUUAGUUUUUAGUUUUUAUUUUUUGUGCUAAAGGAUAGAGGAAAAAGAGGGAGAAUAGAAGCAAGAAUGAGAGUGAAGAUGGGAUUGAGAGGGAGUAUGAGAUGGGAGGAUGGGAGGGAUGAGCAACAAAAGUGAAAACAAAACUUGAAAGUGAAAACAAUUUUAAAUAGAUUUCAGUUUUUAGUUUUUGACAAAGUGGCGUCUAGUGUUACUAUUAAUUUAUCCUUCUUGUUAAAAUUAUGAGCAAACUGUUGUUUUUAAAACUAGUGCAGAACUAGUAGACAGCCAAAUACAAAGCAAGUCAUGAUUUAAUAGAACACAACAAAAUAUAUGGUUCAGUUUGAACACAGGCAAAUGCAUGCACCGGCCUAGAGAAACACAAAGGAAAAGGGCCUUUUGAGCUGCUACAAUUUUGGGAAACGAUCCUAGGAGCAAAAUUGCAGUUUCCCAAACCCAAAAGGAAACACAAAACAAAAGGAGCCAACAGCACCUCCUCCACUAUAAAAGCUCCUUCCAGCCGCGAGAAACUCCAGCAUGUUUUUUUUUUUUUUCAAACUCAAUUUUAUCUCCCUCUGUAUUUUUUUUCUUUAUUUCUUUUCUUAUGGGUGAAUCGGAAAACCCCCUCCUCAAUGAAUUCUGGGCCGAGCAGUCAACUCCUCCUGAGCCGGCCCCCAUCGCCGGCCAAUGCUUGAAACCGACCCUUAAUGAUUGCACAAGCUUCAAUCGGAACAGAAUUGCCGACUAUGGUAAGGAACUUCUUAAUUUCUCCAAUUUGUGGAAUUUAGAUCCCUUUUUCGAAUCUAGUUUCAUGACCGUUAUGUAAUUUUGUUACUGGUGAUUAGAGUUAGUGGUUAACAUGAUAGAAUGAUCAUAUGUUAAUGGGUCUUAUUGGAAAUUAGCUAGUUAUGGUCAGAAAGCAACAGUCUUUGGAACUAAUAUGUUUGUUGCUGCUAUUGAUAAUCACGUGAGUUGCUGCUGCUCUUGAAAAUCAUAUGUACAAAGUAAAGUAAGAGCUUUUUCCUUAGACUGAUGAUGCUUUAAUUGUUAUGGCCAUGGUAAUGUAUGCAUAAACUUUGAAAUUUUGAUGGCCAAUGUAAUUAGACUCUUGUUUUAUGAUGAUAAAUGAAUCUUGCAGAAUUCAGACAUCUCGUGAUGCUAAACGUGUUGCUGGAUCUGCAAAGGUAUCAGAGUUGAGCAACAAGAACAGAACAUCCUCCAAUACUCUUAUGAGCUCUGAGCAGGAAAUUGAAUGCGGCGGGGCUUCCAUGAAGCUUGUAUCUGGAUUUCUUAAGCAGAAGCAAUUCGAGGAGGACAUUCAAUGCAGGUUUCUUUCUAAUUACACAAUUUAUAUUCCUAGAAUUGAAAACAGAUUAGAAUUAUCAGUUUUCUAUGGCUUCUGGGGAUAAUUAUUUUUACGAACAUUCAUAUUGAUCGAUGCCUCAUUUAUUUAUAAAAUUCUUCAGACCCAGGUUUCCAACAUUUAGAUUUAGGUUUUUUGGUCGGAAGCUAGUUGUUGAACACAGUUGUAUUUUUGGUGAAGCUUUAUUUUUGUUGAAAAAACAGCUAAAACUUUUCGAAAACGGAAGAGGAUGAGAAAAUAGUAUAUCACUUUAGUGAACAAGGAUGCAUCAAGAAAGAAAACCAUGUUAAUCAUUAUACUUAUACCUUCCUAUAUCCCUUGGUACUUGGCUCUUGAUGAGCUAACAUCAUCGCCAUAUCUAGAAACAAGGUUAAACAAGUUUGACCGUUUGAUUUUUUUUUUUUUCCUUAAUAUGUCAAUUCCACACAGCAUUUUUUUAGAGGGCAUACAUUAUGUGUAUAAUAUAUAUUGCAUGGCACAGGUUGAUUAAUGGCGAUACUCCUACCAAAGGAAGGAAAAGAUCCCAGUCAUCUCUUGGAUUGCCAACCUCUAGUCAGUUAAAAAGAUCAAAGAGAUCAUCACCAGCAGAAAGAAGACCAUCAUCAAUUGAUGAUCUCCCUGACACGGCAUUGGUUGAAAUCCUUUGCCGACUUCCAUCAAGUAAAUUUGUGUUUCAAUGCCGGUGUGUGUCCAAGUGUUGGCGCACACUCAUCUCAGAUCCUUAUUUUAUCGGCCGCUUUGUACAUAUCCAAGGUUAUAGGAAAACUCCGAAGAUAUGCACUCUAAUAAGUCCAAAAGGAGAGGAAUUCCCUCCUAAAAUGCCAUGGUCAUCCAAGCUACUAAACCCAGUGUUCAAACGAAUAAUGAGUUUCCACUCUUUGACAAAAGAGCCAGUUGUGGUAGCAACGUAUAAUGACUUAGUUUUGUGCUGCGCAACUGAGGAUUAUCAACACAAUUACUACAUCUGCAAUGCAUACACCAUGCAAUGGGUUGCUCUUCCUCCCACCCCAGGUCGAUGCCACGAUAGGGUACUAGUGGGAUUCAUCUGUAAUAUUCCCUACUAUAAUUCUAAGAAAGAAGAUUGGAAAGGGCAUAACGUCCAGCUUAAUACUGAGUGUAUGUGCAACGUUGUGAGAAUUCUGCCUCCUGAUGAAUCUGCAAAUGAUGACGAAUGUGAUUCCUUAAAAUUAAGCGUGGAGAUCUUCUCUUCUGAGACUGGUGAAUGGAGAGAAUCAGUUGUGGCUUCCCCACGAUACUUUGAUUUUGAUGACCUUGAAGAUAUCUCCUUUGCAUACAAUGGGAUGUUAUAUUGGACAAGUGACGAAGAACUCCUUUUUGUUGGUUUGGGUCCCUUCAACGACAAUAACACGACAAGUAGUAGUAGUGGUAAUGGUGAUGGCAUUAUUGAUCAUAAACUUCACUUCACUGUAUUUGAGGAGCCUCUAAAUGGACGUUUUGUAGUUGAGUACCUAGGUAUGUUCGGAGGAUGUGUGUGGAUGUGUGACUUUAAGGCGGCUACCAAUACUCUGUAUGUUUGGGAGUUGAAAGAACAAGAUCAUGAUCGGAUGGUCGAAGGAGCUGCUGGCAGAUUGUGUUUAACUAACCACAGGGUAUAUCACUUGGACCCAAAAAUGUAUCUGGAUGGUCCAUUUACGUGCGAAAUGCAGGCUUUUGACCCAAAUAAUAAGGAUAUUUUGUACCUGCGUGUGGAUGGAGAUAUUAUCAAGUGCAACAUUCAUACGAAAAAGUGGUCUAGGAUAGUUAGACGGUGUCCAGUUGGUAAUGGUGACUAUUGGCCAGUUGAGCUCCCAUGGUGGCCGACUCCAGUUCCUAGAUUACCGCAGCAUGCCCAUGGUGGAGGAACUAGCAGCUAGUAGAUAACUUGAAUUAAAGUACUAAACUUUUAUUUGUUAAAGUUGGAUUAUUUGUAUUUGAUGUACUCAGCAAUGUUACACUUGUAUUUGCUGGUAUCCCUAGCAUGUUUUUUUAAUUAUUCUUUUUGUUAACUGUUUUUUCCAUCUUUUCUUAUUAUGGCGAUAUAUGGACUGCGAGUCGUUCUGUACACACCCAGUUUAUUAAUCAAAGCAUUCUUUAAGCUGAAUUGAAGUUUUGCAAUCUUAUUCUUUAUUCUUUCUUUUGUUUUGUUUUGUUUCUGUUUUUGUUUUAAGUUUUCUGAUGUGCAUCUUAUAAUCUUAUUCUUCAUCAUUUGGUUGCUUUCUAUUUUCAGUUAUACAAAUUUGCCCUGGGUUUGAGUGUUAAGCUUUGAUUUUUGCAUGGUUCUAAGUAAUUUGUUUCAAUAGUCCCUGUAUCCAGAGGUUCGACGUAAAUGCCUGCUCUGUUAUGUGAUGAAGAAUCAAGGAAGGUGUAUCAUGAUGUUUCAUAUAAUUGUUGACCUUUUGAUUUUGUUUUGUAUCAUUCUUACUUGCUUUCCGUAUAAAAUAAUGACAUAGUUAAAUAUGAGUUUGUUUACCGGAAAAUAAAAGGUUUUUUAUUAUAUAAUUAAAAACGGUAUAGCCGGGCGGCUAUACUACACGUUAAAAAAAAUAAAAAUAUAGUAUAGCCGUUCGGCUACGUUUUUGACACGCGGAGAACCGCGCGGCGCUAGGCGGGUUUUUAUAAUUUAAAAAACUAUAGCCGAGCGGCUAUACUAUUUUUGACACAUGCCUAGCACUAGGAGCCAGGUGGGUUGUCCUUUUUAUUAUAAAUAGUAUGGCCGGGCGGCUAUACUUGAGGUUUUUUUUAAAAAAUAGUAUAGCCGAGCGGCACGUAUAGCCGCGCGGCUAAACUACGCGCACGCAUCCAACUCUCAGGAGUUAAAAAGGAGCUGACCACGUACGCAUCUAAGUCAUACCUCUGCCACCCAGAAACCAAUUUCUUCUUUGCCUCCUCAAACUCCAAAGGCCUCACCAAACAAACAGAUAAAAUUCAACUUUCAACCGAAAAAGAAACCUAAACGGUCAAUAUUCGUCACAUCGCGUUAGCUUCCUUCCGCCAUAAUCAAAGCGUGUCUGCUUGCUCCCCAAGCCAACCCAAACCUUUAUAAAUACCACUCAUCACCCUCUGAAAAUCCAAAUGCUUCCCAAGCCCCAAACCACAUCAAAUUAGAAAAAACCCCAUUUCUUCCUUCACUUGAACACUAAAAAAACCUAUAUAUUUUAGGCCAUGUCGACGGUAGGUUAUGGUUUUGCUGAAGCAUAUGUGCUCAGAGGCCUCCACAAGAAGAAGCUGAAGAUGGAGCAAGAAGAAGAAAGAGCCAAGCUGGGCAGAGCUGAAUCUGAAAUUGGUCAGCCCAGUGGUUGUUUGUUUCGGGUGAUGAAGAAAGUCCAUCCAAGCAAUGCUCAGAGUCAAAGGGCUUGUUCAGCUGAAACAGAAGAAACUGGAGAAGUUGGGGCUUUGAACCAGAAAGUUAGAUAGAGCUCAGGCUCAUGACAUUUGUAGCUGCUUUCAGUAAAAUUGGUUGUGCAUAAAAAAAAAAUUGUUCUGAAAAAGUGUAUGUUUGGGCUAAGUCAUGCCUUUAGCUUAAGACUUUUUAAUGGGUUGGAUCUAUUGGUUUCAGUCCAAAUUCCAGGCCCAGUUUGUAUUAUUAUGACAGCAAUUGUUUUUUUUUAUUUGUUUAGAUUAUCAUUAUAAUUUAUUUUGAUGCACUUAAGCAUACUCAUUACACAUUUAAUUUUGUUUUGUUGGUGGCCCAAAAUUGGUUCAAUGAAGACUUUCAAGAACACGAACGAUUUAAUGUGGUUUUUCAAAGCCAGCCUACAUACAUAAUGAUGUUGAUAUAGGCAUAAUGCAUACUUAUCUGCCCCCAAUGUGAGACCCAAUGACUAGGCCUUAUCAUAUGUUGUGAGAAAAUCUCAUUUUGAUCCUCCACCUUUUGUUCUUGUUCGUCAAACAAGUAACAUCUAGAGCUUAAUUAUUGAUAUGCUUCGGACUAUACUCGUGUCAUGUCGGAAUAUUUAUUAGAUUUUUCAACAAGAGUUAAUGUAAAAUGAAACACUAAAUUCAAGUUUGGGGGAUCAAAUAAGAUAAAUUGAAUGUUACAGGGUGAAAUGAGACUGAAAAUGAAACCAAAUUUUAAGGGUCAUAUCUAUAAGACUAUAUCAAUAAUUAAGUCUAAAAUUAUUCUCACAAUCUCUCUGAGUCACUUCUAAGAAGAACUAGGAGACCGAGGCCUGUAGCCUAUGUGUGACUUUUGAGCUUGUGGGUCAAGAUAGUAAUGUAUUUGUAAUUAGUGGUUUAUAUGCUCAUGAAUUUGGAAUGGCAUCAUCAAAUUGACUUUUGCACACACACACUGAUUGAUUACUAUUUGAUUAAUUAAGUAUAUUACUAAAAUUAGUAGGACCUAAAAGAUGUCAUUAUCUCAUGUAAAAUCAAAUCACAUGCAUUAUGCAAAACCACUUUUCCACUUUUUCACUGCUGUUAUACUGUUUUUAUAAAGUAUAGCCGCACGGCCAUACUAUAUUUUUAUAAUUAAAAACAUAGUAUAGCCGCUCGGCGAUACUCUUUUUUUAAAAAAAAAUAAUGCCCCCGCGUAUAGCCGGUCGGCUACACUAUUUAUAAAAAAUAAAGAGGACCCAUGUGCCACUUUUUAAAAACAGUAUAGCCGCCCGGCUAUACGUUUUUUAAAUAAUAAAAAACAUUUUAUUUUCCUGUAACCAAACUCAUAUUUAACUAUGUAUAAUUAUGUUAUACGGAAAGCAAGUAAGAAAAUACAAAACAAAAUUAAAAGGUAGCACCCUAAACAGCCCAUUUCUGAUAGUAUUUGUAACAGAGGAAGAAACACCAGCUGUGGAGAAGCUAUUGGUUUUUCAGAAUCAGGAUUUGGGGUUCAUGGAUGGUUGAGGCUUUGUUGUUUUUCAUUUGGAUGUUUGAGAUUGUAUAUUAUUUUGUUCCCGCGUAAAUGUCUUUUUCUGCGUCUUUCUCCUUUCUCUCUCUCUCACAUCAGCUGUUUAAAAACUUGCAACGUUUUGAAUGAUUGAAUGAUUGAACGAUCUCAUUUUUCUUGGUAUAAUUCACAAAAAAGAACAACCGUCUUCACAUAAUCACAAAAAAGAACAACGUUUUGAAUGACUAUAGUGAAAACGCCCAAUACUGCAAGUUAGUACGGACCCCAACUAACGGAACCUCCUGCAAUAAAAAGCAUGAAACCAGUAAACUUACAACAAACUCGAACUUAAAUGGUAUUGGACAGAAUUGAUACUAUGAUCUAAAAACCUCAGAUAUGUACUAACAUCACCACGACAAAGAAUUAUGACUUUUCCCCCAAGCAGAUGCUUCUGGGAUCCAAUGUGACUGUAGCUGUGCAAGACCCUUCAUUUCCAUUAAAUAUAAAUAAAAUCAAAUAUGUCUUUCUUUAAUUCUAAAUUAGGAUGAGACAUGAGGAAAAUAAUCAGUGUCAUCUCACUCUCAAUAUUAAUUUUCCUUUUUCCAUUGCAACUAUGGAUUGGCUCUUGUGCCUACAGAAACAAGGUUAUAGCUGAUGUUUAUAAACGUCUUGGAAUACUAAAUUAAAGCUACAUGGAGGCCACACAUCCAUUAUUUUUCCCAUUGAAUUUUUUUGCUAGGAAUCUUAUUGAUUUAUUGUGUUUUGGGACAGGCAUAUAUAUUAUAGAUUCUACUGUCAUUGCCGGUCGAGCUGGUAGGUUUCAAGAGGAAACUGGGAAGUAUAAGAACAUUGUGUACCUGAACUGCAGGCCUGAGAAUAAUUUUUUUCCUGAUCUAUCAAUUGCUUCUAGGGCGGAUAUCGUAUUUUUCUGCUCUCCAAACAAUCGAACUGGCAAUGCUGCAUCACAGCAGCAACUAAAGCAACUGGUGGAGUUUGCAAAAGCAAACGGAUCAAUAAUAGUUUAUGACUCCUCCUAUGCUGCUUAUAUAUCUGAUGACAGCCCGAGAUCGAUUUAUGAAAUUCCUGGGGCCAGAGAGGUUUCUCACUAGUUCUCCUCACCACCAUAUAUCAUUUUGUGCUUAACUAUACAAAACCUUCUUGUUAAACUUGACAUACAAAAGGGAUUCUCACUGGAAGUUGUUUUGGCCAAUUUUGUGUGCAGGUUGCAAUUGAAGUUUCAUCCUUCUCCAAAUUUGCUGGGUUCACAGGGGUCCGCCUCGGAUGGACGGUUGUCCCUGAUGAGUUGUUGUAUGCAAAUGGAUUUCCUGUCAUAAAGGACUGUAACCGCAUAGUGCGCACCUGCUUCAAUGGUGCAUCAAAUAUUGCCCAGGCCGGAGGGCUGGCAUGCCUUUCUGCAGAAGGUUACCAGGUUAUAAUUUACACCCCAUUUCUUUUCCAAGCAUGCAUUAAUUCUCUAGUAAGUUAAAAUCCAAUGCAGUUUCAAAUUUUAACUGUUUGUAAGUUGUGCUUUUUACAUUUUCAGGCCAUAACCACAGUGGUUGACUACUACAAGGAAAAUGCAAAAAUAAUUGUGGACACAUUCAGAUCACCUGGGUUGAAGGUGUAUGGUGGCAAGAAUGCACCUUAUAUAUGGGUACAUUUUCCAGGGUUGAGUUCUUGGGAUGUAUUCAAUGAAAUUCUUGAAAAGACAGACAUAGUGACCAUACCAGGAAAGGGAUUUGGUCCUGGAGGUGAAGAGUACAUCAGAGUUGGUGCUUUUGCCCACAGAGAAUAUAUUGGGGGCUUCAAAAAGGCUAAAAACUCUUUUUUAACUUGAGUUAUUUCAUAAAUAUUUGAACCCAGUUGACAGGUACUUGAAGCAAGAAUGACCAUCUUCUUGGAUAACUUUACUGGUUCAUGAGAUGAAUUAGGAUUGGACAAUUAUUUGGUGCUGAUAAGGAAAAAUCUAAUUGAACUGUAUUGCAUUGUUCAUAAGAUUUGUUUCUUCUCAGCCCAUUACUGGUUGUGACUUGUAUAAAUUGUAUUUGUCCUCAUUCAACAUGGCAUCUUGAACCCUUCUUUCUUUUUAUAGUUUCUUGCACUCUCCAGAUGAUGAUUGAAUUAUUUACAAAGGGUAAACUACUCAAAUGAUCCUCAAAUUUAUACUCGAUUUACAUUUUGGUCCCUCAAAUAAAUUAUUCGUUCAAAUGGUCCAUCAACUAUAUAUUAUUCGCUCCAUUGGUCCUACCGUUACAUUAUGUUAAUAUUUCCAUUAAAUAUGAGGGCAAAUUGGUCAUUAUUUACCCUAAAAUUAGGUUAAAUCUAACAGAAAAUUAGACGGUAGGACCAUUAGAGCGAAUAAUAUAGAGUUCAUGGACCAUUUGAACGAAUAAUUUAGUUGAGGUACCAAAAUGUAAAUCAGGUAUAAGUUUGAGGACCAUUUGAGUAAUUUAUACAAAAGUUCCAAUUUAUAUUUGUUAAACUUUUUGGGGUAAAUUACUCAAAUGGUCCUCAAAUUUAUACCUGAUUUAUAUUUUGGUCCCUCAAUUAAAUUAUUCGUUCAAAUGAUCUAUCAACUCUAUAUUAAUUGCUCCAUUGAUCCUACCAUUACAUUAUGUUAAUAUUGCCAUCAAAUGUAAGGAUAAAACCGUCCAUAAUUGUCCUAUGUUUUCCAAAUAUGUGAUAAGCGGUGAUACAUAAGUGAUAAAGUGGUUAUACAUAUGUGAUAAAGUGGUGAUACAUAUGUGAUAAAGUGUGAUAAAGUGAUACAUAUGUGAUAAAGUGGUGAUAAGGUGGUGAUAAAGUGUGAUACAUAUGUGAUAAAGUGAUGAUACAUAUGUGAUACCGUGGUGAUAAAGGGGUGAUACAUAGGUCAAAAGUUUUAUUUACCCUCACAAAUGUAGCAUGUGCUGCUCAUAUGACUAAAUUUAACAGAAAAUGUAACGGUAGGACCAAAGUGCCGAUUAAUAAAGAGUUGGUGGACCAUUUGAACGAAUAAUUUAGUUUAUGGACCAAAAUGUAAAUCGGGUACAAAUUUGAGAGCCAUUUGAGUAAUUUACCUAACUUUUUGAGAUUGUACCAAAUUUGUACUUUGACCAGCUGACAUGAUUUCAUGUUACAAACACGAACAUAAAAAUUAAGCGGUUAGUUGGUUGCAUGAUGAGUUGACACGAUAAUAACACGCUUAUUAAUGUUCAUUCACAAAAUACAAUGAAAAUAGGGGUUUUAGGUUCAAUGGUCCAUGAAUUUUCAUAUGAUUCGCAUUUUGGUUCCUCAAUUUCCAAAAUCGUUCCCAUAGUCCUUCAACUUUAGUUUCGUUAUGACAAAUGGUCCUGCCGUCAUUUUUAUUAAUUUUUUAUGUUAAAUUCAGGGAUUAAAAGGUUUUUUUUGUAUUAUUUUUAAUUUCCACCAUAUGAAUAUUUCAACAAAGCUAUAGACAACCUCCACCCGACAUCGAGCCAAUUAACCCACCAUCUCGACAACAACUGAUGGCGCUCCCCCAACCCACACCAUACGCACCCUCCUUGCGAUGACGAGGAUAGGAAUAAAGUUUUUCAGUUUUUAUUUUUUGGGUGAAAGGAAUAUUCACAUGGUGGAAAUUAAAAAUAAUACAAAUAUACCAUUUUGCACUCACAUUUAACAAAAAAAAAUAACAAAAUUAACGGCAUGACCAUUUGUCCUAACAAAAGUAAACUUAAAGGACCACGAGUAUGAUUUUGGAAACUAAGGGACCAAAAUGCGAAUCGGGUCAAAGUUUAGGGACCAUUAGACCUAAAAACCCAUGAAAAUAUUAAGAAAUGAAAUCAUUCAUUAAAGAGUUAUUUACAUAAACACACCCAUGAGGUUUUUAGUGUUUUCACAAACCCCCACUCAGUUUCUAAAAUUACAUGAACACCCCUUUUGAGAUUUCAAAUUUUUUUUAAACAAAACCCACUUUCAUUGAUUCUUCAUCCAAAAUUUGAUGAUUUCAUAUAUAAAAACUUUUGUAAAUAAUAAAUGAACCUCGAUGAAUGUAUAAAAACUUUUGAGAUUUCAAUUAGCCAACUCAAAUUAUCUUUCUUAAUUCUAAAAUUUAUUAUUAUUAAAGUUCUUAAUUGUAAAUUGCCACACCCAAUUUUUUUUUUUUUGAAAAUUAAAAACCAGUAUUUUUUUUUAAUGGAAAAAAUAGAAACCUUACAAACGAAAGCCAUGAGGGCACGCAGGCCCAACUAAAUUAAAAUAAAACGGAGCAGAGCAACCUAAAAGAAGCCCCUGCUCCCAUAGGUGGGAAGGGUUCAGAGAAUGGCCUAAAUUAGCUAAAACGUUAGCUGUGAAGUUAGCUUCCUGGAAGAAGUAAGAACUUAAUAGCCUUAUGUCUUGUACGAGGAGAUGAAUACUCCAAGGAACUGAAACUUUGUUGUUGUUAUAGUCAAUAAUGAGUUUGGAAUCUCCUUCAACUAAAACUUUGCACCAACCAUUGUGGAUUGCAUAGGUGAGACCAUCAUGAAGCACUAAACAUUCAGCAACAUUUAUCUAAAUCUGACCCGAAUUCUUAGCUCCAUCGAGCCAAACGUUACCAUUCCAGUCUCGAGUAAUGAAACCAGUGGUGGCUAGAUUACCACACACUGAGCCAUCAAAGUUCAAUUUAAUCUAAUCGAGCGAUGGUGGUUUCCAUUUAAUGGCAAGCUCACCUUUGGACUUUUGAGGAGGAGUGGAAUUGAUUUUCCAAAAGUCUAGUCCAAUCUGACCAGUAGCAUUAAGGGCUCUAACCGAAUGAGGGGCAAUGUCUUUAAACACACAAUUGUUCCGAACCGCCCAAAUUUGCCAACAGAGAAGAAGGGCUUUGGAAAGAAUAUUUGGGCCAUCCUUAUCCUUUGUGUGAGGGAAAGCAGCUAGCCAUUCUAUACCAUGAAAAUUUUGCUGGGUAGGCGUACGGAUUAUUGAGGUACACCUUCAUAUGUUGAUUGUAAACUGGCAUUCAAAGAAUAAAUGGUUAAUAGUCUCCCAAAAAAAAAAAAAACCAAUUGUCGAGGGCGAGAGUAUAUACUUCUUUGAUAUAUAGAAAGAGCUAAAACAGAGCUCCAAUUUCAGAUUCUAGUAGGUUCUUUAAAAAACAAAUCUAAAUAACAUUAUAUAAGACAUUUUUCAGCUAAAAAUUCAAAAACCCUAAAUUGCGGGCGAACCAAUAGAAAAUUCACAAAAUACCGAAUAACUAAAACUGGACCAUCAAACACCCCAUUAGACCCAAAAAAACGAACACCGCAUUUCAAAAUUCAAUAUCAUCGAUCAAACAAUAAUCUCCCAAGAUUGUCCAUUGAACCCUAAUCUCCCAAGAUCGUCCAUCGAACCCUUAUAUCCUCCAUCUAAUCACCAACUCUAAUCAUCAAGAUCCUUAUUGUGAUAAUGGACAUGGUCGAGGAAUUUGACGACUAUAUGAAUGCAUAACGUAAAUCGCUAGCCACCACAGUUAAAACCGUCGUCGAAAUAGAUGCCGCCACAGCCACCGUCGAAAUGGAUGCCUUCAUAACCGUCGUCGAAAUGGAUGCCGCCCCCAAACGUAAAGGUCGUGAUUUGCCAUUCGUGGUCGAAAUUGCCACAGAAAAACGUAAACGCUGUGAUUCGCCAGCCUGCGUCGAAAUCAAUGCAGCUACAGCCGCCAUCGAAAUCAAUGCAGCUACAUCCACCGUCAAAAUCAAUGCCUCUACAGUCGCCGUUGAAAUCAAUGCUGCUAUAGUCGCCGCCAAAAACUGGGUUGCUUGCUACCGUUAAAAAGCAGGCGGUCCGCAAUGCAAAGUUGUACUCCAGAUUUGCUCACCCGGUUGUUGAAACUGCGACUACGAACGAUGCAAGGCCAGUUGAUCUCACUGUCUACUAAUCCCUUAGAUUGUUAUGAAAUUUGAUUGUGUCCUGUUAUUCUGCCUUUGGAUUUUCUGUUGGUGGUUGUUCUUUUUGGUAGGAUUCUGAUGUUUGUGUUCAUGGGAAUAUGUUAAAAAUAUUGUAUUCUUCAAGCCCAGUAAUGACCUUGUGGUGAUUUUAUGGUUGGUUAGGGAACACUAUUUGCAUGUUUUUGUUUUCGAAGAUUUUCAUAGUCUGUUUGGUUGCUGAGAAAAAGGUGGGAAAACCAAGGACUUUAGUGAAGAAAUAAGGCGGUUGACCAUAUCUAAAAAAAAAAAUCUAUUUGGAGGAUAGUUGAAUUUUGACCUAGGUAGUCUCUCUUUUAGCUCAUUUUGCAGGUGUCAAACCGUGAUUUACAUGGUAUAGUGAAGGCAACUUCCAAUUAAACACAAGAGCCGAGUUCUCCUUUUAAUUGUUUGCAUAUUGAAUGCUUUUACUAAGUAUGAGGAUAUGGAUAUUUUGUAUCUGCGUGUGCUCCUGUGGUGACUGACAUCACCCCAGCACCAGCCUGCUCAUCCAUGGUGGAGUAACUAGCAGCUAAUAGAUAGCAAGAAUUAAAGUACUUCUAUUUGCAUUUGAUACUCUUCAAUGUUGCAAUUGGGUUUUGUUGUGUUUUGUCUCUUAUCUUGAUUGGGAGCGGUAAAUUUUCCUGCAGUUUUCUCAUGCAAGCCAAUUCAACAACCUUUCUGCUCUUCAUACUCUGAUACUCUAUGUUGUACUGUAUUGUAUUUGUCCUCAUUCAACAUGGCACCUUGAACCUUCUGGCCUUCUUUCUUGUUAUAGUUUCUUCCGCUCUCUAAAAGGUUCAAACAUGGGCCUCUAUCUAGGUUGACCAAAUUUUCGACGGCGAGAGCUUGGCGAACCAAUAGAAAAUUCACAAAAUACCGAAUAACUGAAACUGGACCAUCAAACACCCCAUUUCCUCAUACCCAAAAAAAGGGACAUUGCAUUUCAAAAUUCAAUAUCAUCGAUCGAAUCCUAAUCUCCCAAGAUCGUUCAUUGAACCCUAAUCCCCCAAGAUUGUCCAUUGAACCCUAAUCUCCCAAGAACGUCCAUCGAACCUUUAUAUCCUCCAUAUAAUAACCAACUCUAAUCAUCAAGAUCCUUCUUGUGAUAAUGGACAUGCUCGAUGAAUUUGACGACUAUAUGAAUGCACAACGUAAAUCGCUAGCUACCAAAGCUAUCACCGCUACAACCACUGUCAAAAUGGAUGCCGCCAAAGACACUGCCACUACAACCGACGUCGAAAUGGAUGCUGCCACAGCCACCAUCAAAAUGGAUGCUGCCAUAGCCACUGUUGAAAUGGAUGCCGCUACAGCCGCCCCAAAACAUAAAGGCAGUGAUUCGCCAGCCGUCGUUGAAAUUGCCAUAGAAAAACGUAAACGUUGUGAUUCGCUAGUCGGUGUCGAAAUCAAUGCGCUACAGCCGCCGUCGAAAUUGAUGCCGCUACAACUGCCCUCGAAAUCGAUGCCGCUACAUCCACCGUUGAAAUCGAUGCCUCUACAGUCGCUGUUGAAAUCAAUGCCGUUAUAGCCGCCGCCAAAAAUCGGGUUGAUACUGCAAGGCUGCUUGAUACCGCUAAAAAGCAAGUGGUCCACAAUGCAAAACUGUACUUUGGAUAUACUCACUCGGUUGUUGAAACUGCGAGUACGAACGAUACAAGGCUAGUUGCUCUCGCUGAAAAACUGGCUGCUAGAAGCCGUAUAGAGUUGGUUCCUGAAUUUGUAAAGCUAAUGGCCGACUAUAAAAAGCAUAUGGUUGAAUUGGAAGUUGUUUCUGACACAGCAGUGGAAACGCUACAACGCGCAUUCGACGAUGUUAUUGAUAACAUGAUCCCCAAGAUGCCUAAUCUCGCUGACAUGUCUGACAAGUUGAACGAUCUACGAUUACGCCAAGCACGUAAGGCCAAAACUCGCAGAGCAUCUAGCCGUGUCACUGGCUUAGUCUGAAGUCUCUAUGAUGUUGUCUCUAAUGGCAAUUUUGGAGCCAUGACAUGGAAGACGGAUGACACUCUUCCAGUUUCCAGUCAUGGGAGCUGCGUCUCCAGUCACUUACUUUUUCAUUUUCCCGCGCCUGAUUAGCGCUUCUAUCUCUUCCUUCAUCUGGUACCAGUGCGUGCAAAUAUCACCGAGAUUACAGCCAUCAUACAGAUGACUGCUACCAGCUAAAGGAAGAGAUAGAAGCGCUGAUCAGGCGCGAGAAACUGAAAGAGUAUAUGACUAGAGACGCAACCCCCAUGACUGGAAAUUGAAAGAAUGUCAUCUGUCUUCCAUAUCAUGGCUUCAAAAUUGCCAUUAGAGACAACAUCAUGGAGACUUCAAACUAAGCCAGUAACACAGCUAGAUGCUCUGCGAGUCUUGGCCUUACGUGCUUGGCGUAAUCGUAGAUCGUUCAACUUGUCAGACAUGUCAGCGAGAUUAGGCAUCUUGGGGAUCAUGUUAUCAAUAACAUCGUCGAAUGCGCGUUGUAGCGUUUCCACUGCUGUGUCAGAAACAACUUCCAAUUCAACCAUAUGCUUUUUAUGGUCAGCCAUCAGCUUUACAAAUUCAGGAACCAACUCUAUACGGCUUCUAGCAGCCAGUUUUUCAGCGAGAGCAACUAGCCUUGUAUCGUUCGUACUCGCAGUUUCAACAACCGAGUGAGUAUAUCCAAAGUACAGUUUUGCAUUGUGGACCACCUGCUUUUCAGCGGUAUCAAGCAACCUUGCGGUAUCAACCCAAUUUUUGGCGGCGGCUAUAACGGCAUCGAUUUCAACGACGGAUGUAGCGGCAUCGAUUUUGAGGGCGGUUGUAGCGACAUCAAUUUCGACGGUGGCUAUAGCGACAUUAAUUUCGACGCCGACUAGCGAAUCACAACGUUUACGUUUUUCUAUGGCAAUUUCAACGACGGCUGGCGAAUCACUGCCUUUAUGUUUUGGGGCGGCUGUAGCGGCAUCCAUUUCGACAGUGGCUGUGGCAGCAUCCAUUUUGAUGGUGGCUGUGGCAGCGUCCAUUUCGACGUCGGUUGUAGUGGCAGUGUCUUUGGCGGCAUCCAUUUUGACAGUGGUUGUAGCUGUGAUAGCUUUGGUAGCUAGCGAUUUACGUUGUGCGUUCAUAUAGUCGUCAAAUUCAUCGAGCAUGUCCAUUAUCACAAGAAGGAUCUUGAUGAUUAGAGUUAGUGAUUAUAUGGAGGAUAUAAAGGUUCGAUGGACGUUCUUGGGAGAUUAAGGUUCAAUGGACGAUCUUGGAAUAUUAGGGUUCGAUGGACAAUCUUGGGAGAUUAGGGUUCAAUGAACGAUCUUGGGAGAUUAGGAUUCGAUCGACAAUAUUGAAUUUUGAAAUGCAAUGUCCCUUUUUCUGGGUAUGAGGAAAUGGGGUGUUUGAUGGUCCAGUUUCAGUUAUUCGGUAUUUUGUGAAUUUUCUAUUGGUUUGCCAAACUCUCGCCGUCGAAAAUUUGGUCAACCUAGAUAGAGGCCUAUGUUUGAACCUUUUAGAGAGCGGAAGAAACUAUAACAAGAAAGAAGGCCAGAAGGUUCAAGGUGCCAUGUUGAAUGAGGACAAAUACAAUACAGUACAACUAUAUCCAUAUCCUCCUACUUAGUAAAAGCAUUCAGUAUGCAAACAAUUAAAAGGAGAACUCGGCUCUGGUGUUUAAUUGGAAAUUGCCUUCACUAUACUAUGUAAAUCACGGUUUGACACGUGCAAAAUGAGCUAAAAGAGAGACUACCUAGGUCAAAAUUCAACCAUCCUCCAAAUAGAUUUUUUUUUAAAUAUGGUCAACCGCCUUAUUUCUUCACUAAUGUCCUUGGUUUUCCCACCUUUUUCUCAGCAACCAAACAGACUAUGAAAAUCUUCGAAAACAAAAACAUGCAAAUAGUGUUCCCUAACCAACCAUAAAAUCACCACAAGGUCAUUCCUGGGCUUGAAGAAUACAAUAUUUUUAACAGAUUCCCAUGAACACAAACAUCAGAAUCCUGCCAAAAAGAACAACCACCAACAGAAAAUCCAAAGGCAGAAUAACAAGACAACCAAAUUUCAUAACAAUCCAAGGGAUUAGUAGCCAUUGUAUAUGAAAUCAUAGACUUCCUAACAAAUCCUUAUACUGAUGCACAAAUGCACAUGUUUAGAAGGCAUGCCAAUUCCAUAAAAAUGUUCAACAACAUGUAUUCCAUAAAAAUUCUUACCCAAAUUGCAUGCAACCCUAGAACAGACUUUUAGAAUGUUUUCAGUUACGGGCGCAACCCUAAGAUUUAAUCUAGGUUGUUAUCCAAAACUGAAAAACCUGAUAAUGGUGCAAUCCCAUAUAUUGAAGAAGGAUGAUGCUCAAUUGUGCCAGAAGCACAGCUUAUAACAGUAACACUGGCAUUUGGAACUCCAUAUAGAGGGAGCAUACUAAAGAAAACUCACUCCCUCAAUAUUACACCCUCCCUCAAUAUAGAGGAGAGCUUGUAUCUACUUUGGCAAAACAAACUGAAAGAGAAACUGCCAAGGUCAAAAUUCAACUAUCCUCCACAUACAUAAUUUUUUUUGGUCAACUGCCUUAUUUUUUCACAAGUCCUUGCUUUUCCCACCUUUUUCUCAGCAAACAAACAGACUAUGAAAAUCUUCGAAAACAAAAACAUGCAAAUAUUGUUCCCAUGAACACAAACAUCAGAAUCCCACGGAAAAGAACAACAACAACCCACAGAAAAUCCAAAUGCAGAAUAACAGGACCAAAAAGAACAACAACAAAACAACAACCAACAGAAAAUCCAAAGGCAAAAUAACAGGACACAAUCAAAUUUCAUAACAAUCCAAGGGAUUAGCAGCCAUUGUAUAUGAAAUCAUGGACUUCCUAAAAAGUUCUUACACUGAUCCACAAACGCACAUGUUUAGAAGGGCAUGCCAAUUCCAUAAAAAUACUUCACACCACCACAAGAACGAGCCUCGAUCGUCAUUACAAUUCUUCACAAAGAAAGCUCGCGUAAUAUCAUCGCUUCCUUGCCUCCACCAAGCCGACCAGAGUAUCAAUCUUCUUAUCGUUGGUGAUUACUUUUUUGUCCAACUCAUCAAAUUUCCCAUCUAGUCUUGAGAGGUCACCUUUCUAAAUUUCGAGCAAGUCUUUCUUUUCGUCUGCGCCAAGACCCGCCUGAGCCAGUCUGGGCGGGAUCGUGGAUGACGGAAAGGCCGGCGGCAUCCGUCUCGGUGACGGAGAUUUCUCUUUGGAAUUCGGCUUCGGCUAUGAGAGAAGAGUGGAAGGUUAGGGUUUUAGGAUUUCUAGCGAGUCCGAACCUCUCAAUUUUAAAAACUGGGGCUUGAACAGGCUAUAAGCCUAUUAUGCGGG